rnacentral:lncRNA from 1 species
CAGAUUGCUAGCCGCUGUUCAUCUUCUCUCUGACGACAAGUCUUCCCCCGAGCACAAUUUGUUUAAUAAGCUUUAACGUCUCAAACAAAACAAUUUUUGUGAAUGAAGCAUUUAAUUAGAGAAGCCAAUCAUUUCUGGGACGAAAAUUUGAAAAACAAAUGAAUGCUGGUGGAAGCUCAAUAAGAAGAACACAUAGGGAAUCAAAUGGAUGAAAAGAUUGGCAACCUAUUAUUUGAUCAAAAUUGUAUCAAGAAUAAUGCUAGAGGUACUAAGGCUAAAAUCGAUAGAAUUGAUCUACAAAGUGAUGUGUAAUAAGCAUGACCAUAGCCAUUAGACAUUCAGCCCACUAGUUAGAAGGCUUGACCAAUGAGCCGGUCUAAGAGGGUCUAACCCUACGCACCGAGCUAAAGAAGAAAAUUGUCUGUCUUGACCCCUUCAUUUGCACCUGUGGCUUGGCUGACCUCGGCAGACUAUGCCGUGAGGCCAAACACCUCCUCUAAAUUUAGAGAUAAUUAGGGCAAAAGAAAAGAUAAUUCAAUCAAACUCAAUUGGUCGUAUCUAUCAUGUUUAUGCUAUACAAUCUUCAUUUCGAUUUUUGAGUCCAGAUUAGCAUUUAAUUUAUAUCGUUGCUGGGAGAGUCAAACUAGCAAUUCCUGUAACUAAGAAUUGAAGGUAAAACAUUAGGUGCCUACUACAAACCAAGGAUCUUUAGCCUUUAGAAAUUCCUCAGCCGUGAGUCAUGUACUUUUAAGGCAAUUAAGUUCAAGUUUUUCUAGCUAAUAUUUAGGUAAGGUUCAUGCUUAUUUGGUUCAGUUUUAUUCAUUUUUCUAAGUUGAAAAGGUGAAAGACUAAUCCUUUUGUGGAACUUCCUCCUUCAAUGUCAAUGCUGGCUUUUAACAUUCAUCCUUGAUUAGUUCAGUGAGUGAUUAAUAGACUUUUAUCUGAACCUACUUGUGUAUUGAUCAUGAGAGAUCAAUGCCUAUUAGAAAAUUGAGGUUGGAUUCCAACAUGCGACGUCAGCAAAAUUGGUCGAGUGGUCAUCAGGAAGGGCUUCACUAUGUCUUAUUCAAAAUAUUUAUGACUUAAUAGCACUUUUUUAAAAUUUAAAACUUGAUAGGACUUUAAGCAAAACGUUUAAGACUUUUUUAUGCAAGUUCCUAAAAAAUAAGAAGAAAAGAACAAAUCAAUAUGUUCAUUCGCUUAAAUGAGAAGAGAGUUGAAGGAAAAAAAGGAAAUGGGAUGCUUCGUUUAGUUAUGAAAACUGAGAAGUGUGUGAUCCAGGCAGUUAUGCUGGCGUGGCAAAUUGUUAGAAAAUAAUGUCGUUACCUAUUUAUCCAUCCCUAGUAACUACCCCCUUUUGCAAAACUGUGAUUUUUAUUAGUGAGAAAGAAAGGAAAUUGGAAAUAGAAUCACUACCUUAACAGAAAUUUCAAUCAUCUCAACUUUUGACAGUGCCUCAGUAACUUCCAGAUCUCUGUACCACUUGCAGCAUCUACCCUUCCCUUCAUUAGUGUGAAAAUUUUAGAACUUGUGGUGCUUUGGGUGUCGGACAAUUUGAGAAGCAGAGGCAAGAGAGAAAAAAAAUGGAUAAGAAUGACAUUAAUUGGAUCUUACCAAUUUUAUGUGUUAUUUAUGUUGUUAACUUUUGUAUGGUUGUGUUGAGAUCACCCUCCCAGUCCCCUCGCCACUUGUAUCUAAACAGUGUCGCCCAAUGUAGUGUUGGUGUGCUUAGAGUACCCUCACUAAAGAUCUUCAUUUUUGGGCACUCUUCCACUUCUAUUGAAGACAUGGAUGGAAACUUGAAUAUGCAACUUGUGAUGGAAGAGAAGCAUAGGCUUGGCAGAUUUUGGAGUGUCAAUCUUCCUAGCUUCCCAAGAGAAAUCACUUUUCCUUCUCCUUUUCCAUCGUUUGCUACUACUUCUUUCAUUCUUUCAUAUCCUAUCAUAAUCUUGUCAAAGAGAUGCACCAAAUUUGUGAUCACUGAAAUUGUCAAUAGAUGCAUCAAUCUAGAGGAAUUUUCUUCACCACUAACUUUGUCAUAUUCUGGAAGGAUGUCAUGGAUGGAAAUAAUGUUGUCAAACUAGGACAAUCGGAAACCUCAAAUUUGCCAAUACGAUGAAGAAUUUUUGCCACCAGAUAGCCUUCUCUCCAGACAUGCUUUAGGUUGGGUAGUUGUCUUAACUUAAGUUCUUUCAAAUUUUCAAGCACCAGAUGUUUUCCCUCGUCAACAAGCCCCUCAUCAGGAAAUAUAUCUUCAAAAGAACUACAAAAUAUCUCAAGGCUUUGUAGGUUAUGAAAUCUUUGUAGGAGGAAUAUGGGAGAAAAUACAACAUUUUCAUCAUGAAAGCAUGCCAAUGUUAGUGUUUUUGGCUUGCCAAAGAAGUCGUCAGAAAAUUUUCCAUCGUGUAUCCUCUAAAUAUCCUUGUCGACUAAUAGAAGUCUCUCUAAGGUGGGAAUGCCCUACAAAAUUGCCAAUACAAUGAGAGAAAUAAAUUCAACAAAGUUCAACAAUAAAUCAUGGGCUCUUAGAGGUGAACUUAAAUCAAUUAAUUCCCAUGGAAAGGGUCUUUGUUCUUACAUUUCAUUAAUUUCUAGAGCCCUAGAUACGACUCUCAAGCUUCUAAAGUUGAGCUACAAAAUUCAAACUGCAAACAAAUGCUCCAUUGUGCCCAUCUGCCAACCAAGGCAAGCUAUGCACCCAUAUUAUAAUGAUUAUAUAGAAAGGGAAAGAAUUUUUUUGGCAUUUGAAUGAUCAAACAAAUAAAUAAAUAUUCAUUUUACCUAGAAAGAGGAAAUUCACAUUUUUUUUAUUUAAAUCAAGAAUUUUCAAGAGAAUUUCUAAGUAGAGGUCAGUAUGGUAAUCACCUUAACCAAAAUCAUCUUCUAUUAGGAAUAUCUUAUCUUGUCAUAAAAAAUAUGUAGUUCCUUGAAAUUUCAGGUGACAAGAUGUGCUUAUAAUGUUACUAAAAACAUUAUGGGUGUCCAAGGAUGAAAAGUGCGCUUAAAAACGUUAGAAAUAUCUUAUGUUGUCUAUGAACUGAUAUGUAAGGGGUUCAUGUUUACUAUAUUAUCAUAAUAUGACAUGACUAUGGUUUGCACAUGAGUUGUAUGGGUGAAUAAAAGAAUGAAGAAGAAAUAGCAAUUGCAAUCGUACCCUCUCAAGCGAGAAGUCUGCUUCAUGGUCUGAAAUGUCAUGUUGAUCAUCUCUUUGAGCCCACCUGUUCAUGGAUGCCACAAAGGACAUGUCUAAUUUGUCACAGUGGGUCACUCGCAAUUCCAUCAAGAGUGGCCAAUUCAAAGUAAGCAAGUUAGGGCAAAAGCUCUUGAGUUGUGACAUAUCAUGGAACACUAGAGAAGUCAAUUGCGGGAAAAGAAAUUGAGCAAUAGUAGAGUGGGAAGUGUCAUCUCCACUCGUGACUAUUUCCUUGAGCCCACAUGACUCCACUUGAAGUUCCAUAAGUUGGGUUAGACUUGUAGCCACCCAAUGUGGAAACAAAUUUUCAAGGCUCUUACAAUUAUCGAUCUUCACUUCUUGUAAAUGUUCAAAAGUAAGAGUAUCUUUAGGAUCGUCAGUCCAUAUUUUGCCUAAAUCAUCCACGUGGACAUGACCAUCAACUCAAGCUGAGGAAAUUGUACCUGCCAUAUUGAAAAAAAUGAUAAAUAAAUUUGAUUUCAUUGAGUGAUGACCUCGAAGAAAAAAUUUCAAAACUUCUAGUCCUCUCACAAAUCAUAGCAUUUUAGAACUUAUUAGUGACACAAUCAAGGAGGGGUUGCUUGAUGCUUUCAUUUCAAUUGACUGGUAACUAAGGUCGAGUAUAUUUCAUUGGAACAAGCCUGAAAUGCAAUGCGUCAAAAUAAAUUACUUGUGGUCCAUACCACCUGUUCAUACUCAUGUAUAAAGAUAGGAAAACAUUUUUCAUUGGGUUACCACCCAAAGAACACAAUGACGACCUCAAAUACCACAUGAAUACUUCUGCAAUUUCCUAAGAAUUUCACAUGCCAUGAAAUUUAAGGCAAGUUUCUUGCACAAACAAGGAUCCCUAAGCAAAUGCAAUUAGUCUUCAUGAACAAAUCAAACAUGUUAUGCCUAAAUAGAUUGUGAUACAAAAAAAUGAAACAAUUGUACAGACUGCUUGAAUUGUUCACUCAAUAGCUUGUAUGGAAUUUUCAUUUCAUAAUGAUAAAAAUAAUUAGAUUACGACAUGCUAUCAUCUCAAUUACCAAAUGCAUAUUUACACGGUUCUCUAAGUCCACAAACCACGGAAAAAGACAAGUUUGUCAUACAAAUAUCGAAUGGUCCACUAGGAUAUCCACCUUAGCCAAAUGGUCUCCAUGAGCACAUUAUGUUUCUUUGCAGAAAAUUAACGAUGUUGUGAGCUCUUAUGUCUUGUCCACUGAGAAGCGGGUAUUGACAUUUUUUAUUUGGUUUCAAUAAAAUUAACGCAAUUAUGACUUAUCACUACCAAAAAAAAGGGCUGACUAUUUCGAUACUUCCCUAAAUCUAUUAAUAUUCUAGAUUGAGCAUUAUGAUGAGUUUUUGAAAUAUUUUUAAAAAUGUGGGGAAUACCUUAUAUUUGACAAAUUGUAACUUGUCACUACCAAAAAAUCAGGCAACUAGUUUCAUACUUCUUUUUCCAUUAGUAUUCUAAAAUGAGUAUGAUGAUGGUCUUUUGAAGUUUGGACAUAUGACAUUAGAAGUAAAUGUAUAAUUAGUAGUAACUUUUAUCAUUAAAGAGUAAAAAAAGUUUCGAUACUAGUUAUGAUGAAAUGUUUUAUUCACACAUAACAAUAAAUAAAUAAAUAAUUUAAAAAAGUAUUAAAAUUAAAAAUAACUCAAGCAUUUCCUCCAUUAAAAGAGAAAGCAAUAGCUAAGGGGCCACGCUUUUUCCACUCAUCAUUUUGCUUACACACUCCAUAUUAAAGUGUUUUGACUGUAUCGUCCCUUAUGUGGCCCACCAUUAGGCAUUAUUCUCUUUCUUCUUUAAUUCUUUCUCUUUCUCUUUUUCUUUUCUUUUUCUUUCCUCAUGGAUCUCAAUUUUCUUCUUCUCAUCUUUCCCUUGCUAUUCCCUCUUGUUCCAUUUUUCGCUUCAAACAAGCCUUCUCAGUAUGUAUAGACUCUAGAAGGAGGAUUGAUCAAAAAGAGAUUAAGCCAAAAAUCCCAAAACUUUAAUUAAAAGACGAAGCACCGAGUAACGAAUGCGUAGAACUCGAGCUAGCAAUCGCAUUCAUAGAACCAAAAGAAAAAGGACCACAACACGACAUUUAUCAUUUGCUAGCUCCUAUAAACAGAUAACUGACAAAUCCCGUUGAAGCAGUUUGCAAACAAUGGGUUUAAUGACCACGAGGGAGAUCGGAGUCGCAGGACAUUGAUACAUGUCAUCGAACAAUACGAGGACAUCUACGAUUCGGUCACCAGUUGUCCCCUUACUAGAUCCUGGCAUAGGGACUCUACCCUCCUCCUCUCCAAGUGGCUUUCUAUCGAAGCUCACUUUCGCCCGUUCCCUCCCACCAGCAAGAAUGUCAUCGAGCUCGGUUGGGCUCAUAGCGGCUCGGCUCGGGGUCAGCCAUGUCAUCCUCACUUAUGCCACGCUAAUCCUCCCCGGUUGAGGAGGAACGUGGAAGUGAACGGAAAAGGGGAAUGAGUGGAGAUGAGGGGGAUGGUGUGGGGAUUGGAGGAGUUAGCAAGGGGAAUCAGGGAGAGUUGGACGUCAUGUUGAUGAGCACAUGUUCUUAGAUGCAGAGGAGGGGAUGGGGUUGGGAAGAUGCUGCCGGGUUGUGCAGAGAGAGUGUCCCUUUCUAUUUUAAAAUUGCUUAAAUGUAGCUGAUAAUGAAGUUGCGAAUGGUGAAGAGCAGACAAUAACGCCAACAAGUUCAGUUGACAUUUUCUGUCAUAUUCUACUCUUCCUUUUGAGCUUUUGUUAGGGACUCACAUGAAGCAUUUGAAUGUUUUUUGAGAAAAAAAAAAGGGAGAGAAUGAGACACCAAAGGCAUGUUUGAAGCAAAAAAAAAAAAAAAAGGGAAUAGAAAGAAACGGGAUUGUCGACAAAACACUAAAGGCAUGGAAAGAUAAGAAGGGGGAGGAAGGUGGGACCCGUGAAAAAAGAGAAGCAAAUAAUGCUAAAAGGUAGGCCAUAUAAGGGACAAUAUGGUCAAAAUAUUAUGAUAGAAAGUGUCUAAGCUAAAUAAGGAGUGGAAAAUCACAACCCUAAUUAAAACUUGUAAAGCAUUUGUAAUAUUAAGGAGUGACGGGAAAAAAAAAAAAAACUAACCUGAAUAGUUGGUAUGUGUUUGUUGCCUUUUUAAGAUAUGAUGGAAAUCAAAAUAAAUUUGGUAAAGAUAUUAGCUUGUGUUCACUUCAAUGAAAAUAAAUUUAAAAAUUGACUUCUAUUCUUCAAAAAAUUAGACGGUGGCGUGUACAUGUAUUUUCUUAUUAUUAUACUUUGAUGACAACCUCUCCUAAGUUCAAUUUAUAAUCAAUAUUAUAGUGAACACUGACUUUUAAUUGGCUUAUUUGACAUUAAACAAGCCUUUAUGACUUUACAAUAGGGAUUUUUGGAUUGCCAUUUUCUUUUAGAGACAAUAUUAGGCUGCUUGUGUGUUUUUUAUUCAAGUACACAUGACUAGGCAAGAAGAAGCAAGGAGAGAACAAAAAGAAAAUAAAUAAAAAUCAAAAAAUGAAAUACUAUUAAAAAUUAUCCACGUUAAUGUCGACCGGAGGGUCGGUAUCCAUGUUAGUGUUGGUUAGCCAAAUUUGGUAAUAUGGACUGAAUUAAUAUAAUUGUAAAAAAUUCACGAAUGAAUUGACAAAACAAAAAUGUUUAGAAUUAAAUUGACAAAAUUGCAAAAUAUUUUGACCUUUUUGAUCACUUUUUCCUGAUGAUAGAACACGAUUUAUUAAUUAUGGCAUGAGCUAUGGGACGGUGGGGUUUGGUAGGACGAGAUUGUCGUGCCAGAUCCAAUGGUGGACAUCAAUUUAUCUUUGAUCGCAGGGUUGAGAUGCUUUGUCAUCCAACGAUUGACAUCAAUUUGCAAUAAGUGAGCACACGACAUUCGGAAAAGCAUUACGCUACAUAUCUAAGGCAAAUAAAAUCAAUUCACCACUAGUCUUGUAUUCCAUCUACUACUUUAUGCUUUCAAUUGUUAGUUCAGUUAUCACGUCAUUUUUGUGUCAUUAGCUAUCACGUUAAGUUCGGUAAAGAAAAAGGACAAUUAAAAGCUGUUAUAUCACUCACAUAUAAUUUGUAAAAUUUUUGCAAUUAAGCCAUGUACAAGGACAAAUUAAUUCAAAUUCUGUAGAUCAAAUUAGAUCUUAACGUUUUUAGGUUGUGUAAUAAAAUCAUAAAAUUUAUUUAAAAUAUUAUCAAGUACUUCACAUUAUCUCCUCUAAUUUAAGCGACAAAGUCCAAUGUAGUCUUUUCAAAUAUAUAUAUUUUAUGACAGCUGAAAUUGAUGGUGCACCUAACUAUUUAUUUAUUUUUAAAUGUAAGAUCUUAAAGCUCUCAUUUUGUGGUCUUUCCUCUAGCUCCCAUGGGAUAGUGGCACACUAAUCAGCACGAGGACGUAGGACCAAAAGAAAAUUGAAUCCUUAAGGCGAACUAAAUUAUAGCUGAUUAGUGUUAAAAGCAAUCCUUAUCUAUUGGUUGCCAAUAUGGAGGGCUGAUCAUUAACAGAGACUUUAGCAUAUUUCUUGAAGUAAUUUCUCCACCACCACUUCGCCUCCCUCCACCUCGGCACCCGGCAACCGCGCAAGCCUUCCACACGCCCCCUCACCAUCGCCGCCUUGAAGAACCCGCCCCUCCCCGGUCACAAGCUCCACGCUGCCGUCAUUGGCGGCGGGCCGGCCGGGUCCUCCGCUGUCGAGUCCCUCGCCUCGGGCGGCGUUGAGACCUUCCUAUUCAAGCGCAGCCCCUCCUCCGCCAAGCCCUGCGGCGGCACCAUCCCGCUCUGCAUGCUGGACGAGUUCAACCUCCCGCCCAGCCUUGUCGACCACCGCGUCACCGAGAUGAGGGUCAUCUCGCCAUCGAACAUCACUGUCGACUUCGGCAAGACCUUGAGGCCCCACGAGUUCAUCGCCAUGCUCCGCCGCGAGGUCCUCGACUCCUUCCUCUGCUCGCGCGCGGAGUCCAGCGGCACGGAGCUCAUCACCGGCCUGGUGACGUAUCUGGAGCUCCCUCGCUCCUCCACUACACGAGCGGUGGCUCGAAGCGGAGCCUACCAGUGGACGUCGUGGUCGGGGCAAGUAAAGUGGAUUCUGAUUGGUGGAGGCGAACUAAAUGAUCAGCCCUCCAUAUUUACUAGAUUGGAAACAACCUUGUUGCAGAGUUUCUUUAAACUCCCUAAUCUAAGAUUAGUCGACGUUAGGCCCCACAAAACACAAAAUGCACCAGCAAUCUAACUUUUUGUGCUGUGAUUCUACGGAUCUAUGUGUACUUUUUUUAAAAAAAAAUAGAAACUUCAAAUGACUUGUGCAAUUUCUACACAGUUUGUUUUCUGAAAUAUAAAUGAUCUAAAAAGGGCAUUUCUUAAAAAUGAUCCUUUAUAUCAAUUGCAUAAACGAAUGAACAUGUGUCAAAUUGUGAAUGAUUGAAAGUAAAAAAAAUAUACAUAUAAUAUCAGUUGUUUACAUGACAGUCUUUAGCCACUGAAUAUGUCCUCUGUACUCUUAUACACUUAUCUUUAUCUCGAAGUACAGCUCAAAAGGGAAAGAAAAUUCCACAAAGUGGAUAUUUGCGUGUCAGCUCAUGCCCAUGCAUCUUUCACACAAUUAGGCUCAAGUUGCAACUUGCAAUCAAUGCAGAACAUCGAGACAAAGUACCCCAAAACUGUCUAUAAAUAUAAGAGUCCCGUACCAAUUCAAAUGCAAGCCAACUAAAGCAACGCCACACACACGUAUAAGAGAGAGAGAGAGAGAGAGAGAGAGAGAGAGAGAGAGAGAGAGAGAGAUGGAACUCACGGGUGAGAUGGAAGUCAUGCAAGUACUGCACAUGAAUGGAGGAAUGGGAGAAACAAGUUAUGCUAACAACUCAUUGCUUCAGGUACAUCUCUCAUUGCCCCUCGUGGGCUCUCAAAAUCUUGGAUUAAUCUGCAUUUAAUGUUUGAUUAUUUCAAUCUUAUGUGCACCAUAACAUGAUUUCUUCAUUUUAUAGCAAACUAGGAUUUUUUUUUGUUUUACCAAGAUUUGAAAUUCUAUAUGCAUAAAGAAGCCAAUUUACCAUGCCCUUUGAGAUUAUGUUACUUAUUAUUCAAUAAUUGAAAUUAUGACCCUAAUUCGUAGAUACACUUUUCAAUCAACAAGAUUUCUCUUGAAAAAGAAUGUACACUAGAGGUUAUAUGAAAGUACUAGAUCUCGCAAAAUCAUUGCAAUAUAGGACAAACCCUUUCCGAUGAUGUUCUAAUUUGAAUUUACAAAGAAAUUGCAUGGAAUCUGCAAUAUUAUUUCAUUUUAUUUGGACUGCCGGCGGAUAUAUCGCUGGAUAUAUUGGCUAGUUUUGGGAUUUAUUACUUUAUAUAUGAAAAAUUAAAGACUUUAUAUACGAAAAAUUAAAGACACGAAUUUUUUUUUCUUUAUAUUGAGUGAAUGCGCUCCUUUUCUUUUUGUAGAGAAAAGUGAUAUCGAUGACGAAACCCAUAAUGGAGGCAGCCAUCACAGCUCUCUUCUCCACUGUUGCUGCCACCAUACCGACGAGCCUUGCCAUUGCGGACUUGGGUUGUUCCACCGGUCCCAAUGCUCUUUUCGCUGUGUCCGAGAUCAUCAACAUCGUGAUUGAUCUCUGCAAGGCAAUGAAGCACGAGCUGCCGGAGUUCCAAGUGUUCUUGAACGAUCUCCCAGGGAACGACUUCAACACCCUCUUCAGCAGCUUCUUGCCAAGAUUCCAAGGGAAGCUGAGCGAGCAAUUGAAGAGCAAGUAUGGAGUGUCAGCAACGUUGCCGUGCUUUGUCAAUGGCGUUCCUGGUUCAUUCUAUGGAAGAUUGUUCGCUCGAGAGAGCCUGCACUUGAUUCAUUCUUCGUAUAGCCUCAUGUGGCUAUCUCAGGUAAUUUUUUGUCUCAGUUUGUAAACCUAAUGGGAAAUAUAUGUCGAGAAACACUAUUUUUAUCAUUGUUAUUAUUGUUGUUUUCUGGAAACUUUUGUCUAACCCUUUUUUAAGGGUAGAGUCAAGCAAAUAAUAGUCGAGACACCCGAAAGGUCUAUUUUGGGGUUCUAGGAAAUUUAUACUCUUUUAUGAAGAAACGAGGGGUGUGCUUGGAAAUCAAACUCACUCACUUUUUUUCUCCCUCCCUUCCUCCCUCCCUCCUCAGGUCCCACAAGGACUAGAGGGAAACAAAGGCAACAUAUACAUGGCGAGAUCGAGCCCUCCAAAGGUGCUUAGGGCAUACUACGAGCAAUUUCAGAGGGACUUCUCGACGUUCUUGGAAUGUCGUGGGCAAGAGUUACUGGUGGGAGGAUGUAUGGUGUUGACCCUCUUGGGUCGAAGAAGUGACGAUCCUUCAAGUAAAGAGUGUUGUUACAUUUGGGAGCUCUUAGCUAUUGCUCUCAGUCAGAUGGUCUCAGAGGUAACAAAUUAAAAAUCAAAAUAGCACUUGAAUCGUCAUGGACACAUUAAGUUAAAUUGGAGGUUAGUUUUGUUAGCUCUCUGUGAAUAAUUUAUAUCACAUAAAAAAUUGUCACAUCCUACCACGCCGGUGAAAUUUGCCAGUCCCUUGGGAAUAAUUUUUGUUUCUGCACUCUGUAAAAUCAAACAUAAUCCCUGAUUAUGUUAGAUAACAUCAAGAAUUUUCUUGCAAACCUAUAGUUAAGAUUUGCACACGAAUUCUCUGAUCGAAAGCAAAAUUCCAAUCUGAAAAUCUUACAAGAAUAAUCCCAUUUCUCUUGCUUAGGAAUGUAUUCGAGAAAAUCAAGGGAAAAUUGCAAAAAAAUGUUCCAAACUUAUUACACUUGUGCCAUUUAAGUUCUAUACUUUUCAAUUUAGUCAAUUUAAUCCUAAACAUUUUAAUUGUGUCAAUUUAGUCAUAAACCUUUUGCAUAUAUACAAUUUAGUCCUAAUUUUUUAAAAUGAUUUGCCAAUUUAAUCCUUCCGGCUAAUUAUGACUAUAAAUCGUUGACGUAGCGAUCUAUCAAACACCAACUAUGCUAAAUAACACAGCUAGCCUUAAAGUGAACACUUUUUAUAAUUUUUUUUUAUAAUUUUAUAAUUUUUUAUAAUUUUAUAAUUUUUUUUUAUAAUUUUAUAAUUUGUUUUCCUUUUUCACUCCAUUGGUCAUUGCUAGUCUUCAAGGAUGGCUAAUGGAGGUUGCCAGCCCUAGGUGACGAUUACCCUAGCAAGGUUUCUCCCUCAAGCAAGGGUCCCCAUCAUUGACCCUUGGCAAGCGCAACCCUUACCUAGGCAAGGGUUGCCCUCAUUCAGGCCUGUGGAGGGAAAAAGGGGGAAAAGUAAAAGAAAAGGAAAGGAAAAAAGAAGAAGAAGAAGAAAAAACUUAAGAAAAUUAAUAAAAUCGUUGACAUUAAGAUAGCUAGUGCUGAUUAGAUCGCCACGUUAGCGAUUUCCGCCCAAAAUAGCUAGAAUAACUAAAUUGAUAAAUUAUCAAAAAGAUUUAGGAUUAAACUAGCAGAUUGAAAAAUUUAUUACUAAAUUAGCUAAUCAUUAAAAAGCUUAUGUUUAAGUUGGCAAAAUUAAAAGAUUUAGGACUAAAUUGGAAUAAGUAUAAUGGGUUUUGGACUUUUUUGCUAAUUUCCCCAAAAAAUCAGAGAAUGAGAGAUAAAAUUAUGAGGUGCUUCGAGCGCACUCUUAUUCCCUCUUAGGCUAGUGUAGACUUUAUUAAAAUGGAAUCAACAUUUACAUGAAAAGAAACUUCAUAUAUUAUCACUGUGCAAUAAUAACAUAGACAAGUAACUGUGAAUUUUGUUAUGAUAUUACGGUAACAGCUAAUGUUUUUGCAGUUGUCACUUCUUUGGUUGGAAAAUCUAAAAUUCUACAUUUGCACUAAUCCAGGGACUUGUAGAAGAACAGCAACUAGACUCCUUCAACAUCCCUCAGUACACACCCUCACCAAAAGAAGUACAAGGGAUGGUCCAAAAGGAAGGGUCAUUCUCAAUUGAUUGCUUGGAAGCAUCCGAAGUGAAUUGGAGUAUACUUGCCACCAAUUCUGACUCUAAUAUUGUCUUGAAGGAUGGGGGACACAAUUUGGCCCAAUGCAUGAGAGCUGUGGCCGAGCCCUUGCUCAUUUAUCACUUUGGUAAAGAGAUUAUUGAUGAGGUCUUUAAGAGGUAUGAGGCUCUACUUGCUGAUCGCAUGUCCAAGGAGAAGAAUGCAUUCGUCAAUGUCGUCAUUUCGCUAAAGAAAAUCACCUAGAUGAAUUGCCAAGAAAUUACGAAUAAUUACUUUGCAGAUAUAUGUACUAUAUGGUGAAGUUGGAAUACCAAUGUCACAGGUGCGUUCAUAAUUGUUCGAAGAAGGCGUGCCUGUCUUACUUGUAUUACUUCUUAUGUCUUAUCUUGAGUAAAGAACAAGAGACUUGCAAGUUGAAGGGCUUGACAUUUGGGAUUUAAUUUAAGGAUUUUUCUUUCCCCCAAUUUUCCAUAUCUCUUGAGAUGUUGCAUCUAAUUUAGAGACUCUUCAUAUUUUCUCGGUUGGCUCUAUAGUUUUUAUCUUCACACAAUCUCAUUGAUCCGCACGAUGAAUGGAUCGAUCCCCUCACCAUGCGAAUCGAUCGUGGUCGAGGGCCUUGGUCAUGUGGAUCGAUCAUGGAUCGUUCCCGGUUGGCCGAGAUUGAACAUGAGCGAGGGCCUUGGACGAGUGGAUUGAUCCAUGCAUCGUCCGAAUCGACCAUGGUCGAUGGCCAUAGUCGUGUGGAUUGAUCGUGGAUCGAUCUCGGCUGGUCGAGAUCGAUUGUGGUCAAGGGCCUAGGACGUGUGGAUCAAUCUAUGCACUGUGCGGAUCGACCGUGGAUUGAUCCAUGCACCGUCCAGAUCGAUCCCGAUCAACCCAUGCACCAUGUGGAUUGACCAUGCAUCGAUCCUUGCAUUGCGCAAACUGAUCGUGGAUCGAUCCUGAUCGAGGGCCUCAGCCGUGUGGAUCGACCUCAUGCACAAUGCGGAUCGAUCCGGGGCCGAGCGAGCGGGAUCGAUCGUGGUCAAGGGCCUCAACUAUGUGGAUCGAUCCAUGCACUAUGCGGAUUGAUCCCGGUCAAGUGGGAUCGGUCCCUGCACCAUGUGGAUCGAUUAUGGUCGAGGGCCUCAGCCAAGUGGAUCGGUCCAUGCAUGGUGCAAAUCGAUUGUGGAUCGAUCCAUGCACUAUGUAGAUUGAUCACAAAUCGAUCUCGGUCGAGCAAGAUCGGUCCCUACACCAUACGGAUUGAUCCACGAUCGAUCCAUACUCCUGAUCGGGCAAGAUCGGUCCCUGCACCUUGUGGAUCGAUCCAUGCACCAUGCAUAUUGAUGUCUAGAGACCAUUGCAUAUUUCAAGAUAACAGAGUUGGGCUAGUUGCACACUAUCCAGCACUGAUAAUCACCUAAACAAAGUCGGAAGUUCGCCUCCAGGUUUUGCUAUAGCAGCCCAAUCCUUAAGGCGAGCUAAAUGAUCAGCCCUCCAUAUUUUUCCUUACGCGAACUUCCGACUUUGUUUAGGUGAUCUCAUUUUUGGAAAUGAUAUCAAAUUACCCUUCUCAUUUGAUGAUCUUGUUUUUGUUUCGUUUAUUUUUUUAUGUUCCACAACAUUAAUAAUUGUCGAAAUAUCCCACAUUACUUAACAAUAGAUCUUAUAUGCUCUUUAUACAUAUGAGAUUUUUCUGCACCUUAUAAUUUAAGUGUUUGAAGUAAAUUUUCUAAAAUAAUAUAUGUCAAAUUCCAGCCAAAGUAUGACUAAAAAAAAAAGUCUAGCCAAAGAAAAUAUACAGUAAAAAAAAACAAACAAACAAAAGUGUUGGAUGGAAAAGAUGCCAUUCAGAACCUGUGACCCCUGACGACCCGGUUGACCCAAGCCCCUUUGGCAGGACUCCAUACAUCAUGCUGGCAUCACCCUUACGUUAUAAGUCCUUCUAUAUCUUUUUUCAAUCGACAAAAGGGGAAAAAUGAAUCAAGUGACCAUAAAAAUGACAAAAUUUGGGGCACAGCACGAGCGAAAAUGAAUCAAGUUACUCGCAAGUUAUUAAUUGAAUCCCUAUUGUUUUUUUUUUCUUGACAUAUUUAAUAGACAUAAAUUGAUCCAAAAAUUGUUAAGAGUUCAUAUAAUACUCGACCUUAAUUGAUAUGAGUAGAUUACGAUAGAGUUGAGUCAAGUUAUUCUCUAAUGUCUUGGCACUUCAAUUGAGCCAAGCUUAUACAUAGAAAUUAAUAUCCAAUUGAGCUUGAGUCAGCGAGGAGGGGUAGUAGGAGUGGGGACCACACGACAGGGGACAGCCGGCGACCCACGAGGUUGUCCGGUUACUGCCAAAACUCUACUUUCUCUCUCCUUGCGGUAGGUUCCAAGAUUCCACGGCAAGGCCCAUUUGCUCCUGCUGACUUCCAAAGCUGCCGACUGAUGAAUUGAUGGUACAUCGCCAAUGCCCAUCUUAUCCAAAUUGGGAAAAAUAAAAAUUCAUCUUAUAGUAAAAUUGACAUACCAUUCGAGGGAGCUGAGUUUCUAAACAACAAGAAUACUAAGCUUGGUACAAAAGCAGGCAAUUAAAGUGCUUGAGGACUUUACAAACCUCCAUAUCGAGCCUGGGAUAGGUAAAAGAAAAAAUUAUCUCUUCAAUGCACCUGCGCAAGGACCCUUGCAUGUGCUGCACAGAAGAGCCAGUAUCUGUCAGAGAGCUUGCAUAAAGGGGUCUAGUUUCCUGAAGCAUACAACGCUUUUAUCUAGCUUGAUCAUGAAAAUGCAACUUGUUAACCCAAUAGGGAUAGUUUGCCUCAGUAGUAAUUCCAGAAAAAGAAAAACAGGGAAUUAAACCUUAUGAGAUCAUGUUAGAUGCCGUGACACAGCCAGAUUUUCUAGAAUUUGAAUGGAGUCAGUAGUUCCAUUCGAGGAAUCAGAAGCUGGAUGGAGUCUAGAGACAAUAGCGACAGCAUAACAAACAUCUCAAGUUUCUCUUGAUAGAAAGAAAGACAAUUGAAAUUUAAUUGUUUAUCAGCAUGCACAUGCAUGCUCACUUCAUGCGUUCACAGACUCACAUGCGAAGUUAUGCAAAUGAACAAAAUGACCCAGCAAACCCCCUCAAAUUUUUAUACAUUCAUCAGGAAUCAUUUCCAGGAUUUUCUCAUAUUUCUCCUCAGUCGAUAGUAUAUUUUGGUUCAAAAGCACUUUUCCCUCAAAGAAAUCCCUCAAAACAUCUGUAUAUGAUCUCCUGCAAAGGUGAAACUUGCUUAGAAAUUGAUCUAGGGGUAGAAAAGAGAAGGAUAACGGGAAGAGGAUCUACUUUAAAGGAAGAGAAAGACAAACAAUGAAUUAGGGGGCUUCACAGUGGUAAAUGUAAAUACCACAUCAGAAUUUUGAUUUUGGCUAUCAUCAAGUAGGCAGAUAUAGUAGUCUCCCGCUUCUAGAAUGAGCGAGGGUGGGUAAAAGGCCCGCUAAAGAACUAGCACGUCUUAUGGCAUUGUACUCAAAUCACAGGCUAACUCUGUACCUCCAAUUGGGUACAGUGCUGCUAUUUUCAUCAAAGUAUAGGCUGUUGGUGUUUUAUUAUUGCUGGAAAAUUGCACAAUCAUUCUAAUUGAACUAAUUUAAUCUUAAUUCUUUGAGGAAAAUUGUAAUCAAGUCCUUUUGGCGAUAAUGUGAUGUGGACGAAGGUUACAAUGAAACGACGCUUUUUUUGUUGAAAUUACUAGCGUCUUUGCUUAGUCGGGCAGCUAAGCUGAAGCCCCAAAUCACUAAAUCUCUAGCUCUAACACUUGACUUAGACAAAAAUGUUGACGGUAUGCAAAGUCUCGGGGUCCAAAGUCAAGAAUCCAUGACUGAAUCUACCAAAUAGCAACGAAUAGAAGCAAAGCCACAACACCCACACUAGCAAGCAGCUCGGCCCUUCCGAAACAAAAAACUAGCACAGAAGCACACAAAAACGAACUAACCACGAGAGAGGCACACAUCAAAACGGAAGCAAUUUCAUUUCAACAGCAGAAAUGAAAAUUGCCGACAGACCCCAUUUUGGCCCAAACUAUAAAUCAACUUGGUUUACCAUCGAUCACUGGUUUAUUUCCGCAUUGUAGCAAAAGUAUCUCGGAUGGGAUGCUCCACACGCCAAAGGUCAAUCAGGGAUGGAGAGAGUGGGGACCCUCCAUUAAAUAAUGUCUUGUCAAAUUACUGCAUCGAGCAGUCUGAGCAACGUGCAUUGCUAUUUUCCGGUGCCAGAGCUCAAUCAGAAGAGAAUACAUGUGGAGCCCUUUUUUUAACGAAUCAUCAUACAUAAAUCAUAAUAUUUCUAUAAAUGGAAAAAUCAUGAGAUCAUAAAACACACUCUGAUACCAACUGUUAGAAUAUACAUAUAAUACUUUGAUGCGGAAAAUCAAAGUAAAAACAACGAUCUUUGAUCUUCAUGAUUUUCACAAAUAGAUGAAGACGUACCUUUAUCCAUAGUGUUACUGUAAAACUCGAACCAAAUGAAGAAAUCCGAUUUCUCUCCCUUAACCCACUAUUCCUUAAUGUAUUUUGUCGAUGGAGGAGAGAAUACCCAAUUCCUUUUUUUUUUUGGGUUUUUGUUGUUCAUAUGGGUGGAGAGAGGACCGGACUCUAUUUAUACGUUCAUUGAAAAUGUGUCUUCCAUCAAAGCGAUAUACCAUUUCAUUUUAUUAGAGUCGCAACUUCUCGUAACCAAUAAUUAUUUAUUUUAUAGCAUUUCAAUAAUUAUUAAACCAUAUAAUAAAUCAUAUCAUGUGGGUCACAAUAAUUCUUACAUCUUGAGGAUGACAUGGAAAAGGAAAGCACAGGAUAAGAGCCCUGAACGUAACUUGUCAAACCAUUUCCUACUUAAGAAGGCCUGUAAGUUUCCUAUUGCCGCAUGAAAACUUCAUUCAUGUGAUAAAUUAUACAUUGUUUGACAUUCUUCUUCUAAUGCCAUAAUCAAUUGGAAACUUCUAUCUCUAUUGACUUUAAAUUUUAGAAUACCAUAAAAUUAUAAAUUAAGAAUUAAGAAAACACUCAAUAAAAUGUAAAUUGGCUGUAAUGUGUGUGUGAAUAAUUUUUAUUAAUGUUCUAUCUAUUGACAUAUUAAACUUGGUCUAACUUGGGCUCCUAUAUCUAAUUAAUGAAUAUGAUAGAGCAAUUAAAUAACAAAAAUAUAACAGAAAAAACAGUGAUGGCCAGUUCUCAUGUCAACCAUAGAAUUAGCUUAUGUGAUUGUAAGCUAUUAUAAGGUCAACGGCUUCAAUUAAUGAUUUUAAAAAUAGGGAAUUGAUUUUCAUUUAGUAGGUUUCACGUUUUUGUUUUGAAACAUCUAAUUAGAAGAUGCGGAUCGACAUAUAAGUGAAAUAAAUAUAGCAAUUUUCUUUGACAGCUACUAUUUUGCAAAGUAAAAAAUUCAAUUAUAUUUUCACUGACAGCUUUAAUCUCUUGUAUCAUUUUUUUAGAGUCAAAGUUUGGUACUGGUCAGUGAAGAUGGACACAAUGAUUAGUAGCACAACCUGGGCACACACCAAAACAGAAGCAAAUUUCAUUUCAACUGCGAAAAUGAAAAUUGCCGAAGGACCCUCAUUUUUGCCCAACUAUAAAUCAGCUUGGUUUAUCAUAAAUCAUUGAUUUAUUCCCACAUUGUAGCAAAAAUAUCGUGGGCGGAAUGCUCCUUAUGCUAAAGGUCAAUCAGAGACAGAGAGAGUGGGACAUGUUGAAAAAUAGAUCACUAUCAUUCUCAAUAUAUAUUUUUUUCUUUACAAGGCUAUAUAUAUAUACACACACACAUACAAGUAAUACUAGGGUAACAAUCGCCUAUUAGGUAAACUAUUCGCUUUCUAUAUGCAUUACCCCCACAAAUCAACUCGCGCAAAUAUAAAUAUUUUCUUCCUAUACAUAUCACUCCUACAAAUCAGCUCAUGCCAACACUCCCCCUCAAGUUGGUGCAUAAAUGUCGCUAAUGCUCAACUUGUCAAGUGCGCUGCAGAAGGCUCUGCUCGAGACUGCCUUCGUCAAUAUAUCUACUAGCUAAUCUUCAGACCUCACAAACAGGAAUUGAACUAUCUUUGCAUCCAAAUUAUGCUUAAUAAAAUGACGAUCAAUCUCAAUGUGUUUGGUCCAAUCAUGCUGCAUAGGAUUAUGUGAUAUGUCAAUAGCUUCCUUGUUAUCACAAAAGAGCUUCAUCUCGGAUCUAGGAGGAAAUCCCAAUUCGAACAUCAGCUUUUUAAGCCACAAAAGCUCACAUAGCCCUUUGGCCAUCCCUCUGAACUCUGCCUCUGCACUUGACAAAGCCACCACUUUCUGUUUCUUACUUCUCCAGUGACAAUAUUUCCCCCCACAAAUGUAAAAUACCCUGAAGUUGACCUCCUGUCGUACACACUCCCCACCCAGCCUGCGUCCGUGUAACCUUCAAUUCCAAGAUGACCAUUCCUCAUGAAUUUUAACCCUCUCCUUGGAGAUGCUUUCAAAUACCGAAUUAUUAUCAUCACAGCAUUCAUAUGGUCUUCACUAGGAGCAUGCAUGAAUUGACUUACGAUACUUACUACAUAUGCAAUGUCUGGACAGGUAUGCGAUAGGUAGAUUAACUUCCCCGCUAACUUUUGGUAUCUCUCCUUGUUUGUUGGUACUUGAUUAGGAUACUCUCCAAGUUUAUGAUUCUCCACGAUUGGGGUAUGCGCUGGCUUACAAUCUAGCAUCCCUACUUCUGCCAACAAAUCUAGUACAUACUUCCUUUGAGGUAGGAAUAUUCCCCCUUUUGAUCUUGAUACCUCUAUUCCCAAAAAAAUACCUUAGUUCUCCCAAGUUUUUCAUCUCGAACUCUUCAGAAAGCCUCCUUUGGAGUAAGGUGAUUUCUUUCAAGUUAUCCUCUGUAAUGAUUAUAUCGUCAACAUAGAUAAUCAAUGCAAUUAUCUUCCCUUCUUGUCGUCGAAGAAACAAGGUGUGAUCCGACUCACUUUAUCUGUACCCAUAUUUCUUCAUUACCACACUGAACCGACCAAACCAAGCCCUUGGUGAUUGCUCCAAACCAUACAAGGACCUUUUCAAUUUGCAGACCACACCUAAAUGUGAGGAAGACUUGUACCCCGGUGGUACAUCCAUAUAAAUCUCCUCAUCCAAGUCACAAUGGAGGAAUGCGUUCUUCACAUCAAACUGAUAUAGUGGCCAGUCUUAAUUAACUACAAGAGACACCAAAACUCAAAUAGUAUUAAGUUUUGCAACGGGAGAGAAAAUCUCUUGGUAGUCAAUUCCAUACAUCUGCGUGUACCCCUUUGCUACCAAUCUUGCCUUGUAUCUUUCGAUGGACCCAUCUGCCUUAUAUUUGACAGAAAACACCCAUUUGCAUCCCAUUGUUUUCUUUCCCUUAGGCAAGUCCAUCAACUCCCACGUUCUAUUUUUUUGCAAUGCCUUCAUCUCUUCUUCUAUAGCCUGAACCCACCGAGGAUCCUCCAAAGCUUCCUGUACUCCAUUCGGAAUUUGAACCGAAGAUACAGCCAACACGAACCGCUUCAAUGGUUUAGAUAACCUUCCUGUUGAGACAUAAUUUGUGAUGGAAUAUUUCAAUCUCCUUUCUCCAACAUCUGGUGAGUAUCGAUUUGGGAGUUUACCCUGAUUAUGCCUAACGGGUAAUUUAUAUUCCACUGACAUAUUAGAUUCAUCAAACAAACCAGAAGCAGUAGAGGAGAUUACCUUAGGAAAAUCCUCACGAACUUGGUCGAGUAUUGGAGGAGAAGGGGGUUGUUCAACUUGUUCACAUAUGGGUAUUUCACCCUUUGUCGGAUCCUACGAGGCUUCUGUAGCUACACCUGUUGCAAAUUCACCAGCACUAGCACCAUCUGUCACCUGCUCAACAAUUCCACCAUUAACACUAGUCGUGCCAGCACCACCCACGGUUGCUCCAACAUCAAUCAAAGCCUGCCUAGCCCCAUUAUCACCAGUGUUGGAGCUAUCAUCGACACUACCACCACCCCCAACAACCAUGUCUCUUCCUUUGAGUAUAACCCCAUCAAUAAUCUCCCACCAAUUCUCCCUUUCUAGCCAAUUCUCCCCCUGAAAGGUAGAAUUGGUACUCGGGUAAAAGAACUCUCCUUUGACAAAUGUGACAUCCAUAGUCACAUAAGUUUUUUUAGUAGAUGGGUUGUAGCAUCGAUAGCCCUUUUAAUGAGUACCAUACCCCAAGAACACACACCAUAAAUCACGUGGAUCAAGUUUGGUAUGUUGGUUCUUCGGAAUGUGAACAAACGCAACACAUCCAAACACACGAGGAGGAAUUGUCAAGACUGAUGGCAAUGGGAUAAAUGCAGAGAGUGCUUGUAGAGGCGUAUGGAAAUCUAGCAUUUUUUAGGGCAUUUGGUUGAGGAGAUGCACCGCCGUGGCAAUAGCAUUAUCCCAAAAACGUGAAGGAACAUGUCCCUCAAUUAAGAGGGUUCAAGCGGUCUCGAGAAUAUGGUGAUUCUUCCUUUCGGCCACUCCAUUUUGUUGUGGAGUUUGUGUACACAAGGUCUCAUGAAUGAGACCAUGUUGCUGAAAGUACUCCUUGAGAUGUCGAUUCACAUGCUCUCCACCAUUAUCACUUCGAAGAACUUGUAGCUUAGCAUCAAACUGUGUUUGAACCAUCUUGUGAAAUACUUUAAACACAUUAACCAUUUCAUCCUUAGUUUUCAUCAAGUAAAGCCAAGUCAUACGAGUGCAAUCAUCAACGAAUAUAACAAACCACCGACAACUCGAGAUAGCAGUAAUAGGAGAAGCGCCCCACACAUCAGAGUGAACUAAUGAAAAAGGCAAGUUAUUCUUACUCAAACUUAUGGGAAAGGAAACACAGUGGCUCUUAGCCAAAAUGCAAGUCUGACAACGGAAAUCCAACUCUUUUAGAUCCAAAAAUAAUUCAAGAAAUAGCUUUUUCAUAUAGCCAUAUAAAGGAUGUCCCAAUCAUCGAUGCCAAAAUCUCCAAUGAUCUCCUUCGUGAGGAUAUCCUGGAAAAGACAAAAUUGAGGAUACAUUAGAACAAUACAAUUCAAAUCUUCAGUGAGCUGACCAACAAAAAUUAAUUUCGUGGUCAAUGACGGGACAAGUAAGGUGUUAGGCAAUGACAACUGAGGGGAAACCGCAAGCACACCAACCCUUGUCACUGGGUAUGUAUUCCCAUUUACAUUUGAGAUACUGCAUCGUUUUGGUUCUGUAAUGCUCACAAAAUCAUCUGGGCUAAAAGGUCAUGCUCCGUAGCCCCCGAAUCGAUAACCCAUCCAUCACAACUACUGUGAUUAGGGAGAACCAGCGCACAACCACAAUUACCUUGGAUAUUACCUGAAUUGGACGUAGCCGAUUGGUCUUGAAUUUCAACUUUGGGCACCAAAGGCAGCUGAGGUUCCAUCUUAGCAAAAAAAAAAAAAAAAAAACCUUCCCUUUUCCACUGUUAGUACCCCCGUCGGCUUGUUUUCGCGCCUUCAAUUCCUUCCAUCACUCUGGAUAGCCAUGGAGCUUAAAGCAUGUCUCUUGAGUAUGCUUAACAUUCCCACAGUGUGAGCAUCCUCCAGAUGAAAUUGUAGUUCGUGAACCGUUAUUUGUCCGCCCACCCCCUUGUGUAGCUCCUGAUUUAUUCAUUUGUAGAGUUGGCAUUACUAGUGAUUCUCGGACACUUGUCUUUGCUUCCCCGUGCCACCAUGGCAGCAAACCGAAACAUGGAAUCAGUAUGGGUGAGCAUCACUGAGUGUUUCGUAUCCUCCCUACGAACCCGUGCAUAUGCUUGCUCGACAGUUGGGAAUGGUUGCAUUUGGAGAACAUCCGCUCUCACUUUGUCUAGAUGAUCGUCCAACCCAUCAAGGAAGACAUACACCCGGUCUUCCUGAAUGGCAAGAUUGUACCGCUCAAUAUCAGCUGGGCAUGUCAUUGGGUUUGGACAACAGAAGUCGCUCUCCCUCCACAAACCCUAAAGAUUAUUGUAAUAAGCCUCAAUUGUCUCUCCAUGUUGUCUCAUCCAAGUCACCCGCCUCUUCAAGUCAUAAACUUGGGAGGCAUCAUUUCCAUCAAAGAAAGUUGUUGCAAUAGAGUCCCAUACCAUCUUCGCAUUUGGGAAACAAAUAAAAUUUCCUAUUAAUGCAGGAUCCAUUGAGUUGAUUAGCCACCCCUUCACAAUCGCAUCCUCAGUCUUCCACUUUCGAAAUUGAGGAUCGAUAGGUGAGGGCUGAGGGAGAUCACCAUUAAUAUAACCCAACUUGUCUUUACCAGAGAUGUACAUCUCCACCACUUGAGACCACAAUCCAUAAUUUGAUCCAUCUAAUUUGACUGAGAUUUGUGCAGUGGAUGGCUCCUGGGAUUGUGUUGAAACCUUAGUCGAACUCUGAGUCAUAAUCUGUGUUAGCUUCAUCGUAAGAUUCUCUAGAAGAGAAGUAGUUAUUGAGUUCUCCCCUUGGUCUUGAUGAGGUACCUCAUCAGUUGGCUUUGUCAUGGUUGCCAAUCACAAUUCCUUCGCAAAGGAAUUUUUGGUCAGGUCAAAUUAGUGCAACAACAACACAAGUCAAUGCUGCAAUAGCGAUUUGAUUUGGUCAGUGCGGCGGCAACAUAAGGAAAAACCUAAAGUUGCAGCGGCGAUCUAAUUCGGUGGAAAGAGUGUGGAGAAAACUAGGGUUCUUGCUUUAAUACCAUGUUGAAAAAUAGAUCACUAUCAUUCUCAGUAUAUAUUUUUUCUUUACAAUGCUAUAUAUAUAUAUAUACACAUACAAGUACUACUUAGGUAACAAUCGCCUAUUAGGUAAACUAUUCGCUUUCUAUAUGCAUUACCCUCACAAAUCAACUCGCGCAAUUAUAAAUAUUUUCUUCCUAUACAUAUCACUCCUACAAAUCAACUCACGCCAACGGGACACUCCAUUAAAACACGUCUUGUCAAAUUAUUGCAUUGAGUAGCUUGCACACAACGCGCAUUGCUUUUCUUUCGGUGACAGAGCUAUGUCAGAUGAGAAUACCUGUGGACCCCAUUUUUUUUUUUUAAUGAAUGGUUCAAUCAUGAGAUUUUCGUGGCUGCUUUUUGGCAAAUAAUAACUUUUUUUAGAAUGUCCAAGAAAACGAGAGUUUUCCUAUUUACUACAAAGACUUCAUUCAUCUCAUAAAUUAUACAUUAUUUGAUAUUCUUCUUCUAAUGCCAUAACCAAUUAGAAACUUCUAUCCUCAUUUACUUUAAAUUUCAAAAUACCACAAAAUUUUUAUUUAAAAAUAAAGAGAACACUCAAUAUAAUGUAAAAUUGUCAUAUGUAUAUAGUGUGUGUGUGAAAUUUUUUUAUUCUACCUAUUGACAUAUUAAAUUUGGGCUAACUUAGACUCUUAUAUCUAUUUAAUGUUACCCAUUAAUUGAAAAUAAGUCUUGACAUUUCAUGCAUUAUCAUUUUAUAAGGAAAUUUUAUUAUUUUUUGCUAAAUUGUAAGAUUAGAAUGUCCAAUUAUUCUUUAAUCUUUAUAUACACUAUGGCUAUUUGUAAAGGUCAUGACUACUUUUUAACCAAAAAAAAAAAAUGUGUUGAGUAAACAAAAACAUCCAAAAUAAAUAUUCUCACAUUCUUAUUCUUUAAUAGCAUUCUUCCAAGUUUAAGAAUUACGGAUAUGUUUGGCUGAUACCACAUAAUUUUGAUAACCAGAUUGAUAUGGGAUUGUAUUCAAAAUUUCAUGCAAGUAUUUCAAGUCCUCACGGUAUGGAUGAAUCUGAUUUUUCAAUAAGACCCUCCUAUCAUGCACGCGAAGCCUUGGCCCAUUUCAAUUUUGAAGGUCAGGUCUGAAAGACCUUUGGAUAGCCUGCCCCCUCCCCCCUUAUAACCGUAAUGGCAUCGAAUCAUACCACACUCGAGCAUGAUUCCUUGCCACCCUUGGAUCGCCUCGAGCAAAGUAAGAAUCGAGGCAUUUGUGGAAUUUGACAAAGGAAAGGAAUAAGAUUUAUGCAAUUAAAAAGGGGAAAGAAUGAAUUAAGCCACAACUAGACACAGCUUGAUUCAUGACCCGGAUGAGGCCUACUAUGUGAUCCAGAUGUGCCUUGUUUCAUUGCUAGCAUACAUGCGACUGGGCCUAACUUGAUCCAUAACCGGAACUUUCUUUACUUGCCACUUCCCUCUCUCAAUUCUUACCGUAGUUUUUCCAUUCCUCAUAUUUUCAUUGCCUUUUUUCACACCACUAUGCAAUUGGUCCAUAUUGCUAUUCUUUGAUAUACUAAAAUGCCCUUGCAUUGGAGUAAAAUUGAAUGGUGGAGUUCUGUAAUUUUGCAACUACAUGUCAAUCUAGGCUAAUCUCAUUUAAUAAAAUGCUAGCAGGAUGUCGAUGUUCAAUUGAAUUUAUGCACAUAUUGAGUGGCCUUCAAAAUGUAGACAAUUUAACUGAAGUGCAUGCUUAGUUUAAAUUAAUGAUUGCAUGUUUGUACAAUUGUAUGCCAUCAUAAUAUCUCUAAAAUACUAGCUUCAUGAACUCUCGCCACCCUUUCAACAAUGAAAUGAUGUCACGACUACGCAUUUUGAGGGCUAUAGUCUAGGUUGGUCCACUUCGAACAUUGAGAGGCGCAAAAUUUAGAAGGCAAGAAAUUCGUCAAUUACUUGCGAUCUUCAUAAAUAUAUGCACAGGUCUUUCAUGGAAGUUUCUUUGUAAAAAUGUGAGGUUGAAGAGGUCAUUGAUUUUUUAUUUUAUUUGAUAGAGUAGAUUAAUAUUCUUAAGCAUAUUUUUACUGCAUCAUCGAGUUCAAAGUAUAGUUUGCAUUGGUCUUCAAGUUUUAUUUUAGCGAACCUUUAUUUUAACUUCUAAAAGAAUACCUUACAUUAUUUUUUAAUUUCAUACCAAUUUUACUCACAGGGAUGUUAAAGCAUGAGGCCAUCAAUAUUUCUCCAUCUUGACAUGAAUGUCUAUAUAACUUAGUAAAUAUAGUAAUGAAGUAAAAACUAUAUUAACUAAUAUCAUGAUACGACCAUAUUAAAAUUCGAAAGGUUGAGUAAAAUAAUUAACUUGAAAUAUGAAUAAAGGAAAAAUAGAAUUAAACUAACAUUUAGAAAAAUAUGUGGAAACUAUAGUCUUGGAGCCGUACAACAAACAUGUAUUUUGCUAUUUCUAUGUAGACUUCAUCUACAAUUACUGCCAACUAUUUUAUUUUAUGAGAAAAUGACACAAAUGGUCCUUGAACUUUCAUCUAAUGUUCAAUUUCAUCCCUGAACUUUCGAUUUGCUCAAUUUGGUCCCUGAACUUUCAUCUAAUGUUCAAUUUCAUCCCCGAGCUUUUGAUUUGGUUAAUUUGGUCCCUGAACUAUUUGAAAAUUGACCAAUUUUGCCCUUCAGCUAGUUAAAGUUAACGAAAUUGGCUUACAUGACUUUUAGUCUCUUAAAUAUAUAAUAAAAAAAGACAUGUGGAAUAUCCAUAUGGAAAUUACCUUUAAAAUAGGUCAAAUUAUGGCCACCAUCCAAAAAAAUAAAAAUAUAGAACCACUUGUUCUCUCUACUUUUGUGAUAAAUGCUCUCAUCUCUAGUUGACCCCUAAUUUAUUUUCCUUUUUUAAGAUAUAAAUUGACUAAUAAUUCUAGUAAUCCAACUUAGUUCCACAUCAUCAAUUAAUGCUCCACGUCAUCACUUAACGGUUUGAACAAACGGAAGGACUAGAUGGAAUAUUUGUUAAUAGUUCAAAGACCAAAUUGAGCAAAUCAAAAGCUUAGGGAUGAAAUUGAACAUUAGAUGAAAGUUCAUGGAUCAUUUGUGACAUUUUCUCUUAUUUUAUCUAUAAAGGGGUAAGAUGGCCAUGUCACCAACAUAUGAAUUCACCAACCCAUAAACAUCUCACUCUGCAAUUAGACUAAUUAGGCCUACGCAAAGAAAGGAGAAUUCUUGUAGACAAUGUCAAGAACUUUCUAUCAUUCUACUUAGUUGAAAUUAAAAUGUUGCCUGUGUAUCAAAAUAUAUGAUCUAGGAAACUAUAGAUUAAGAAAGGCGUAUCAUGAAACUGUUAUGAACUAGAAAAGAGAUUACUGAAAAAUUAUCUCUCAUAAAAACAUGAGAAGCACUGACGUUGAGAGAUUCUAUUCAGAAACAAAAACAAAAAAAAAAGGCUGAUAAAUUGCAACUAACUCAAAAAAGGAAGAAAAUAAAAGCAAAAAGAGUACACUGUAUCAUCGAUUCAUCACAAUUGCACAAAAGAUGCAUAGUUAGGAAUUCUAAAUUCAAGUCAGCACUACAAAAGGCCUAAAAUGACAUUUUCAGUGUUUUAACUCAAUCAACUAUUGGAUUAGUGGUAUUUGUUCCUGUGUUGUUUCUUCUUCGGUUAUGUUUCUUUACCAAGUGGAGUAUAUAUAUGUCCACUUGAUUCCGAACUUAACUUGUCCUUAUCAAUAAAUCCUGGUUUAAGACAUUGAACCAUGAAAGCUUCGAAAAAAAUGGCAUAUCACAUUCUUCCUGCACUACAUCAAAUCCACUUGGCAAAAGAAAUUAGAAUGCGAGGCAGCGUUAGGCGACAUCUGUAUUGGAAUUUGAGAUAUGCUAGUGAUGAAUUACGCUUUGGAUCUAACACCCCCCACCCCGCGCGAGGGGGACGGGGGGCAUCUCUUCAUAUGAGUUGGCUACAUCGCGAACUUGAAAAAAAAAGAUGCUCCGAUUCGACUACAUUGCGAACUUGAAAAAAAAAAAGAUGCUCCGAUUCGAAUUGGACAGCUAAUUGAUGAGGAUUGACGAGGGGGGAGACACGUUGGACUUGGAUUGACCCUACAUCUAGGCUGUUUGAUCUCAUAUGUAUCUUAAAGGGGAGAAAUGUAAUGAACAUUAUUAACACUCGAAUUUUUGUAGAUCAUUCGGAUAUCCAUUUUUUGUCAAAAUAUAAAAAUACCAAAAAAAAAGGGUAAAAACGACAAAAAUAUAGUAAUAAGAAAGAAAGAAAUAAAUAAAUAAACAUGAAAAAUAGAUUAAAAAAUAAAAUAAAAUUCGGGUAGGCCAUUUAUGCCUGGCCCGGUUACUGAGAAAAAUUUCCGGCCCACUCGGGCUUAGUUCCUGAAUUGGCCCAAUUUUCCUCUAACUUUUCCUAUUUUGUUCCAGCCCAACCCUUUUCCUUUGGUUUUUCUUCUCCCUUUCUCAAGCCCAUUUUGUUUCCUCAAAAGCCCGGCCCUUUGUCCUUCUCCUCCUUUGCACGCACGCCUUGGUGAGAACAGAGCGUCCGUGACGCAAGGAGAAAAUUCUGUUUUGGGUUGGCGUCGGCCAUUGAAGUGGGGAGAAGCUGCAGGGAGCUUAGCUGAAGAGAAGAGAAAGGAUCGACAAAAGGGGGGGACGGGGAGAAAAAAUCUCGUUCGAAGAAGGAGAGACCACUGCUUCAUCUCUGCUCUAUUUUGUUCGGUUUUGCUAAAGUUUAGAGGAUUAAACUUAGCCAAUGAACUCACGAGAAAACCUUACUAAACUGAGAUCGUUUUCGUCGCGAUUUAUGCUGAUCUAGAGGUUGAUGCACUGCGUUUAGACCGAGUACAGCAUCAAAUUUGGCCUCGGAACUUUUACACAAAAAACGCACGCCACCUGUUCGAUGAUUUGCGUAUAAGAAGUUUUGAAUCUGACUUUGCAUAAUCGGAUGAUUGAUAAUGUCUAGAGCUGUAAUGAUUCGUGUCUAGUACACUAACUGCUGCGUUCCUUUCCUUUUGGAUGCAUAUCACGCUCAUGGUGCCGUUUGAACGUGGUCAGAGUCUCAAAUCCAUCCUCGUUUAUUUUGGCGACGAUCGCGAUUAGCUACGGCCGUGCUGGAUGCCUCCACCUCUCUUUCAAGCACUUGUGUUUCGUCCGGUUCUGGAUUGGUGUGUGUGAAUGUUAAGUUAGAAAGGAAUUCUUUUCCGGUGGAGGAUGUGUUGGGGUUACCGCAGGGUAAGCCAUCGUCGGCGAAGGUUUGACGACGGUCGGAGAUGAUCGGCAGUGACGAUUUGGUGACGGUGGGCGAGGUUGGCGGCCGAAGUUGGAACGGUUGAGAUUUUGAAGUGCGUUCGUGUGGUGAGCUUUGAGUUUUUCCAUAGGGAAGAUUCGGCAAGUUGCAGGGGGAGAGAUUGGCUUCGGGAAGAAGACGACUUGAGAGAAGGGGACGAAGGAAAUUAAAAAUAAUAAUAAUAAAUCUUUAAAAAUUUAGGUUUAAUCCGACGCGGGUCGGGCCGGAUAGACGGAUGGGGUUGGGGGGUCGGACCGGGUAAAACCGGUCCGAAUUCCUUUUCCCGAAUAUAAUAAUAUUAAAAAUAAUAAAAAUCAUUAAAAAUAGAAAAAAAAUCAUAAAAAUCAAUUAAAAUAAUAAAAAAAUCAUAGAAUCCAGAAAAAUCAUUCAAACUAAAAAAAAUCGAAAAUUCAUAAAAUCAUAAAAAAUAAAUAAUAAUUAAGAAAAAUAACAAAAAAUAAAAAUUUCAAAAACUCAUAAAAAUUCAGAAAAUUGGAAUUCCUUAAAUUUUUUUUUGAUAGUUCUUCAAAUAUUGUUUUCUCUUAAAGUUUAAAAAAUCCUAUAAAAAAUCAAAAUCCAAAAUUGAACAAGUUUUUAUGGCUUUAUAAUGAGGAUUUUUGGGUUGUUGUUUUCUUUUAGAAAAAAUAUUAGGCUACUUAUGUGUUUUUACUUAAAUUGCACAUGAUUGCACAUUUCAAUAUCUUGAGUUUUUUUUUUUUUUUUAAAUGGUUAGGAUGAAACCUAAGAAUCUUCGUUAGGUUGCUAUGACAUUAGUUAGCACGUAAUCGAGUUAAGUACUGAAAUGACAUUAAUUUUAAGACUAAUGUAAUCAAGCCCUUGUUCCAAGAUCUUCGGUCGCACAUGGAAUGAGAUAUUUUCCUAUUUCUCGCUAGGUUUCUAGUUGAUCUAAAUAAGCUAGUGGCAACUCUUUACGUAGAAAUUUGUAUAUAAUUAAUUGAAUGAAAACCAAUUGUCCAACAUUUUGGGAGACCUGAGUCAACAUAAGGCCAUUGGCCCGAAUUUGGCAAUACCUCUAAACUUAAUUCCUUCCAUACCGAGAGGUUAGUCGUGACACACUCGUAUGAAAUUUCGGUAAUAAAAGAGCGCGAUAUGUACACAAACAUGUCAUUGGAAAAAACUACUAGUAGCACCACCGAGUUCUUAUAACAGUAGUUCGGACCCGGUGGAAAACAAGGCAUAUGUAAUUUAAGGUAUAUGUAAUUUAGUCCUCAUUUGUCGACAAGGUGUGGAACUUUCCAAAUUUUCGAGCUCCGCGGUAUUUUCCCUUUCCAGUCAAGGUUUGAUUGAUCCUUCAUUGGUCAUGCUCAAGGGAUAUUAUAUCUCUGAAGCACUUUAUCAAAUAUUACUGCAUGAGAAACGGAGUUCCCUUUGUGUUUUAAAACCUUGACGUGGCCACAACAAUCGGAAGCUCGAGAAGCACCAAACUUGGAUCCUUCGUAAGGACAAGGUGAUAAAAUCGUAUCGUAGCUCCAAAGGGAGGAAAACAAGACUAGAAGAGAGUGCGCUCACUAGAUCACCACAACUGAAGGAAGGGGGGAAUAAUCAGGAAAUUCGAGGCCCGAAGUGACAGCUCCCAAUGUUCGACUUGACUAAAUCAGGUAUAGACACCAGCAAUACCAAAGAUGGAGACAUUGAACACUGUAUUAUUCUCUAAUGAUGAGCUCAAACAUGCAGACGUUUACCAUAUGCAAGAGAGUUUCUAUCACAGACACGGACCAACUAGCUGCCAGGAAUGCCCCUCGAGUGGGUUAGUGAAUUCUGAGCUCCACCUUGCACGAUCUGUCACAAUGCCUAAGAGUUACAGUGUGAUUAUAUCCAUCAAAAUGUUCCUUGAAGAAUCCAAAGGGAAUUGUUUGUUGAGAUACAUAUUUGAACAUACAAUGUAUGAUUAUGAAAGACCAUAAUUAGAGAAUACACAAGAUGUAAGUUCACUGCACUUGGCAAUAAUUGCUAGCUUCAAGAGUUCUAAUCAGCAGCCUUAACUAUAAGAUAGAGUGCAUAAUCUGAAAGUAAUCAAUCUUAACCUUUCAAAAUUUGUGCUUUUAGACUAUAUAUAGGUUAUACAAUAUAAUCUCGAAUAAAAACCACAAGUUUAAGGGGAAAAUCAAACAAAUUGAAAACUCGAACAUGGACCGAAUUGAGAAUUCCACCGUUUGAUCAUGCCAAUUAAUUACGAUCCGCAUGACCCAAAUAUUACGUUAUCAGUCAACAUCCGGAAAGCUCGUUAAAGAGCAUCGAAUAAUAUGGAAUGAGAACUUAAAAUAACAUUAGUUUGAACAUUUAAUUAGUGAAUUAAUUAAUUCACUCUAAAAGACUGAGGGUAGAAUACAAGUUAAUUUUGUCAUGGAAAUCAAAAUUUCGAUAAGUUGCUUAAAUAAUUUUUGCAUCCUCUUCACCUUAGAAGUAGUAAUAUGAAGACCACGCCUUCGGAUCAUCAUGGUGAGGAGCUGGGACUUAGCUGAGAACAAGGUAAAUGUGGUUCAACCCUCAUUCCUAGAUAGGCCGUGAAAUCUUCUGGAUAUUUUGCUUUGAUGAUUUUUGUUUUUGCUGAGAGAAAUUCGUUCCCAAGGUACGAUGUCUUGCCGCUGCUCGAUGAAUAACGCAUCUCUGAAGCACUCUUCUCGAAUAUUAUUAUGCGAGAAUAGUGUUUUCUAUAUUUGGCAACUAUGAGGUGAACAUGAUCAAUGGACUAAUGUUCCAUGAAUCUGCACCACCCUUUCCACAGCGAAACCUUAUCAUUGUUUCGCUGUUCUAGUUCUAUAGUCCAGGUUGAACCACUCACAACUUUGAGAAGCACCGUGUUUGAGGGGUCCUUUCCAUAUUCUCUUAAGAAACUUUAGAAAUUCCCUAUUAUGAAAAAAUUAAAGUUACAAGUAACUCUUCAUAGUUAAAACGAAAGUGCAGAAAUGAGGAAGAAAACUGAGAAAUUUUAAAUUCUGCAGCAUGGAGGAAUGAUCAGUUUCCACUAGAGGUGUGCUUCGGUAUAAGUGUGGAUCAAAUUUUCGUGAUUGUUGCUUCAUUUGAGAAGCAUAAUGCAGGAGAAAAUCCAAAAUUGUCCUGCCGCCACGUCUAGUGACGCGAUGAUGUAGCACAGUCCAUUACUUAUGGCUGGACAAAAUUGCCAUGCCUAAUCUAAUGGUGGACAUCAAUUUAUCUUGAUCGCAUAGUUGAGAUUGCUUUGUCAUCGACGGUUGACAUCAAUUUGCGACAAGUGAACACACGACAUUCGAGAAAGAAUUGUGCUACUUCUCCGGGGCAAAUAAGUCAGUUCAGCACUUGUCUUGUAUUCGACUUAUCAAUUUAUGCUUUGAUUUUAAUAAUUCAGCUAUCACGUCAUUGUUGUGUCAUUAGUUAUUACGUUAAGUUUGGUAAAAGAAAGAUGACUAUCAAAUCCUGUAAUGCAGUGCCUGAUCAUUUCGAAUUUUUGUCAGUGGAAUUCUGUAACAUAGAUGCUAGAUCAGUUUCCAUAAGCAACAUGCUUUGGUAUAAGUGCGGGUUGAAUUUUAGGGAUAGUUGCUUCAUUUCAUAAGUGUGAAGCUAGAGAAUCCAAACUAUAAUUUAUAGACCGAUUGAGAAAAUUAUCAAAAAAGUCCUAAACUUUUUGUAAUUUUAUCAAUUCAGUUAUAAUUUUUUUUUUUUACUAAUUCAGUCGUAAACCUUUUGCAAUUAUGCAAAUUUGAUCUCUCUAAUCAAAUUUGGCCGAUCGACAGUGACAUGAAUAAUUUCUAAUAAUAUUUUAUUUUUUUAGAAUUUUUAAUUUUAUUUUCCCUCCUUUCUUCUUCCUCUAGCUAAUCGUUAAACCUUGGCAAUCGAUUAGAGGCAAGGGCCGGUGAGACUCAACCUCCCCAUAGCUAAGCAAGAUCGAGCCUUGUCAUAUCUAGCUUAGCCUUGCCAUGGAGGCCGGAGGAAGAAGAAAGGAGGGGAAAAAAUGAAAAUGAAAAUAUAAACAAAAUAAAUAAAAAUUUGUGUCAUUGGCUAUUACGUUAAGUUUGAUAGAAGAAAAAGCACUAUCAAAUCCUAUUAUAUCACUGAAAUAAAAUUUGUAAAAAAUUUACAAUUAAGCCAUGUACUAGUACAGACUAAUUCAAAUUGUGCAGAUUUGACAAAUCUUAACGCUUUCAAGUUGUGCAAUAAAAUUCUAAAAUUGUUAAAAAUAUUAACAAUUACUUCACAUUAUCUCCUCCAAUUUGAGUGACAAAAGUCCGAUGUGGUCUUUUCAAAUAUUCUUUUUAUGAUGGCUGAAAAUGAUGCAGUUAACUACUUUUUUCUUAUAAUAGAUCUUAAAACUUUCAGGUUGUAGUCUUUUCCUCUAGUUUUCGUGUGAUGGGGGCACACUAGUCACCAAUUAGCAUAAGGACCUAGGACCAAAACCCUCCUGUGAUUGAUCCUUGUAGACGGUGACGAGCAGUGCGCCACCAUAUGUGCUAAUAUGGUGCUCAGUCGAUGGUAUAUUUCUUGAGAGUAGUUAAAAGUGGAAUUAUUAGGUUAUAUUGUUAAUCAUAAUUUACAAAACUAACUAAACUACUUGGUUGCGCCUGCUGCUGGAUGAAAUCUAGAAUUUGAUUGCAUUUUCAAUAAAAGUUUUCAAAGUUUCCGGUGCAUUUAUCUCUAUUUUAUAUAGUAUGGACAUAAAAAUUAUGGAUGAUAAAUUUGCAUAAAUAUAUAUGUAUAUAUAUAGAUGUCUUGUGUUUAAAAGAUAUAUAGUCCAAUUUACUUAGUCGAUUCUCCUAGAUUUUUUUUUAGUAUUUUGUUAGUUAGUUAGAUUUGCAUGUGCAAUCUAUUCAAAUUUAUGUUUAGUUAAGACUUAUUUCGUGAAUUUCCGAUGAUUAAAUUUAUAUGUAUCAUUUAAGUAUGUGUAUAUCUAAAUAUGAUUGAUUUGUCUAGCAUAAUAACUUAAUGUAAUAACUACUACAAAACUAUUUUUUUAAAUGUUCAAAAACUAUAUAAUAGGUAGGAGUACAUUAUAUUUAUGCUUUUUUGUUUUUUUUUAUGCCACGCGUCUUCUGAGAGCAACGUCUCCAAGCGAGUGUAUGGAUGAGUGCAGCGGUUCAGACGGGCCCAGUACAGCCCAGAUCAUUUCGUGACCUCCUUUUGUAUUUUUUGUUAGUUUUUUGGGGCCUAGUAGAAAUUUUCUUUUAAUCAUUUUUUUUUUUUAGUGUCUCAGGAAACCCCGUAAGCCGACAGCCGGCGGGUAGAACCUAGGGGCAGCACAGGUGAAACCACCACCCCAUGCCACCGGGUAAGUCACCACAUAUAGCGCUUCAGCCUCCCUGCUUAGUAGGGGCUUCGAACCUUGGCCCCCUACGGGGAAGGGCAAAGGAUCUACCAUCCACGCUGCCACAGUUGGUGGUAUUUUCUUUUAAUCAUUAAUCUUUGAAAAAAAAAAUUUAUAAGGUGGAGACUCUCGUCGACAUGGGAGAAGAGAGAGACUCAUUCUUAUUCGGUAAUGCAGUGGCCAAUCGUUCCGAAUUGAGGGCUUUUGUCGACGGUCGAAAAAGCCCCAAAUCCAAAGUCCAAUCGGCGUUCAACCUUUAUGGCGAAGAUCCAAGCGGCCUUGUUUCAUGCCGAGGCUGACGAAACUCGUAAUCCUCCAAUUAUGCUGCUUCCGGCCGACCCUUCUUCACGAAUUGGUCUUUCGUUUAAUCUGACUGCAGUGGUAUCAGAGAGUACGACGCUUCGGAUUCCAGAUUUGUAGCGGCGGUCGGCGAUGAGGACAAACGGAAUUGAGGGUGAUCUUAUAAUGGCAGCACCUUAGGCUCAUGGCAUUUUGUUGUGAAGUAUGGUGCUUUGGGAUUGUUUGUGCGAGUAUGAAAGGGGGAAGAUUUGGAACGUUUGCAACUUCCUCUGAUGGUGCAUCAGAGGAGAAUGAAGACAAGCUUCGGACUGCAUUCACCAUGAUCGCGGUAUGUGCUUUUAUUCCCCUAAAUCUAUUUUUCAAUCCUUGAGUUUUUUUUUUUUUUUAAAUCAAAACUUAGGCUGUGUUUGAUUCAUGGAAAACGUAACGUUUUUGGAAAAUGUUUUAUGUGAAACCAUUUUCCAGGAAAAUUGUUAGUUUUCCUUUGUUUGGUGAUACGUGACUGUGUUUGGAUCGCAUUUGAAAAAUGAUCUAACAAUUGACAAUAGUGUGCCUCUUACUUCCAAAUUAAUUUGUUGAGUCCAUGUUACUUUAUAAAUUGAUUUUUCUCGAUUAGUUUAAUAAAUCUAGAAUUUGAACCUGCAAAAUGAAAAGGAAACCUGAAUUCAUACAUGUAUUUUUUUUUCCUGAAAAUGGACAUGAUUUCCGGUUACAAGAGCAAGUCAAAACAAUAUCAUUAAUCACUUCAAUACAUUUGGCUCUCUUCAGAUGGAUGCGCGUCUCGUGCGGCUCUCUGCAAGUUAUCCUGAAUUGCUGAUGGACACCACGAAGGACCAUACCUAAAAGCUAUGUCCUGUAGAUAAGGAAAUUGAUCAAUUCUCCAGGGUGGGAUUGAUCCUAAAAGCUAAAGAAUUUAUACUAAAACAAUACAAAAAUAGAAGAAGACUACAUUAGCCAUUGUCGAGGCUGCUAACUCCUUCAGUUCCAGUGAAGCAUCCUGAUCCUCGAAGAGGAUGUAUGUAAGAGAUGGGAGCAUGGAAGAAUUAACAAGUAUGGUAGCAUUAUCAUCAAUGCUAGAUAGGUUAUGCAAUGCCAUCAUGCUGGGUGCCUUUCCUUCUUCCUUCGCUAACAUUAGAACAAGUAUUUUGGUGCUUUGCCUGGCAACAAACAAUUUGCUGUUGCUAGUCAUGGUCAUGCUUCCCUACAUGGAAGCCAUCCUUAUUGCUGUUUCUGGAAAAGUUGACAUACUCCAUCAGAAAUUACAGCUGUGUUAAUGUUCAACACUAUAUGGCAUUCAAGCGGUGUCGCAGAAGCUACUACAAACAUUCAAAUUCUGAUGCUUAGCUACUUGAAUAGCUACUACAAGUAACCAAAGAACAAGUCUAAUGUUAAGAUCAAAACUUGAAGAAGAUACAUAGCAGACUAGAUAACAUGAAAGAAAAAUUAAAGCUGGAAGAAGGGACAAUCACAAAAGGAAGCUACAGACUCCUAGAGUGGCAUUAUCAAGCAUGGAAAACGGAUCGUUCAAAAUAAAUGGAUAGCAUCUCAUAAGAGGAGAGCAUUAGAACAAAAGGAAAAACCAUUUUGCAAUCCUUCUAAGAAACUUGGAGCCUGCGAGUUAUUAUUAUAAUCAGAUAUAAUUUGCCCCCUAAAAUCAAAUAAAAAGACACAAUGUAAUAUGUAAGCUGUAGUCCUCCACAAUAAUUUUCAUUCAAUAUUUGAAUAAUAUACAAUGUUUCCAUGUUGUAGUAGUUCUAUUGAUUUGAGGAGAGUCAUGUAGCUUGAAUCUUAAUAUGUAUAGCUACUUGCAUGAGAUGUUUGGUUGUGACCUUAAUCAUCACUUCCAAUAUUCACCAUUGAAGCAAAACAUAUAAUGUUGGGUCAUACCUUUUCUAUCAUGAAAAGACGAUGUUUAAUAAGUGGCAUCUCAUUCUCAGGUUGCAAUGCAAGUAUCUCCACUUUGUCACAGUCAAGCACCUCUAGGGUCUUCAAUGCUGGCCAAUGUGACACAUAUUUUCCGAUGUAGAUGCACCUCAACUUUGUUAAAUGUUGAAGCUUGAGGGAGGUUAACUUUGGAAACACAAACCUGGGAACUUCUCCAUCUUCCUUCUUAAUGAGUGCCACAAUGCCACAUUCACUGAUCUCCAACUUCUCAAGUUGGAUUAGAUGUAUUGCUAUUGAGGCUGGAAAUAGAGAGGUGAGGUUCUUGCAUCUAGAAACAGUAACAAAAAAAAGACACUGAAAUUUGACUUGAUUGUGGAGUUCCUUAUCCCAUACACACUUUAGCUUUGGUAAUCCACCUAACUCUAGCCUUUUUAAUGGCAAAUGAGCAACCGGAUGUCCAUCUAGAGGAUUCAAUGGCUGAAGUUUGAAAACAACUUCAAGCGAAUCGCAUAAUUUUACCUUCAAACUUUCCAAGCUCCUGAGCCGUCCAAGAAUGCAAGAGGGAACAAUGUUCAAUAGCUUAUUGCAUUCCCACACCUCAAGCGAUUUUAGUUUGUGGAGAGAGUCUGCAGCAACUUGGUUGUCCCAUAUUAUCUCAAUAUUAUUCACGCCCCGGAUUGCUAAUGUCUCCAAGCUAGGAAAUGCAACCUGCAAUAUUCACCGAUGAAAUUAGUGAUUCUAUUAGAUUAAUAGUUCAUGAAGUUCCAUUACAUAUAGAAGAGCUCGCUUGAGGAAGAGUGUUAGCACUAGAAAGAAAACGAUGGAGAGAUUGAGAUUAAAAAGGCGACUAAUCAUUAAUCAAAAGGUACACUAUAGAAGUAGUUGCUUGCACCAUCCUUGAAAUCAAAUCAUGAGUUUCUUAAUUGUCGUAAAGAAAAAUUACAAGAUGCAAGGAAACACAUGGAAGAAUUGAUGGUCCCAAAAAUUACAAGAUUUGACAGGCCACACAAGUCUUCCCUUUUUCUUUAAGGACAAUUUAAAAGACAAUAUUUUGAAAACAAAAAGGACAAUAUUUUGAAAACAAAAAGGACAAUAUUCCUUAUUUGUGGUGGGCCUUAAUUUUGGCAUGGUUGGUUGUGUUGUUUCUCCGUGAUAACUAUUCUACUUCAAUAAAGUAAUCGCGGUUGAUUUGUCCAUAUUAACAAUUUUCCUUUUUUCAUUUUACUAAAAGUAGUUUCACGUUUUUUGGACAAGUCUAGCUUCAAAAUUAGUGUAUUAAUCCCCAUACUGUCUUUGUUAGCCUGUUAGGUUUAUGUUGAUUUUACUAAUUUGCUAAAAUUAAACACGUGCGAUACAAAUAUAUUACUAUUUAUAAUCUUUAAUAUCUCUAAAAUAUAUCAAGGACAUCAUCACUUUUGGUUAAAGUCAAUAUCAAUUAUUUUUAUUCAAUACUAUAUCACUCUAAAGCAAUUAAAAGUUAGGCUAAAACAAAACAAUCAAAAAUGGAAUUGCUUGGGUCAAAAUGAACAAAUCUUUCUUAUAUCAUUUUAUUGUCAAAAGAACUCAAUAUUGUAGUUCAUACAAAUAAUUAAGUCCUACUGUCGAAAAUAGUCCUAAAUAUCCCAUUAAAAAAGGUUAAAGUCAUCAUAUCAAUCCAAUUGAAGGGCCCAUUUAGUUAAGUCAAAGCGGAUCUGCCCAUAAACUUCUCUAUUUCAUUUUCCAUUAAAACAUCCUUCCACCGUCCACUUGAGAAGUUAUAUGAGUCGACUAAAAUAGCUACACUGCAAAAACUUAACGAACAUUUAACGAAAUUGAAAAUUGUUAUUAUGGUUUCCAAGAUAUCAAUGGAUCGCUCGGUUUCAUUAUUGACAGCUCGAUCGGUUCGAUGAUACGGGCAAAAGUGUUACCUUGAACGAGAGGCGCUUUGCAUGAAUUAAAGUUCAUAAAUCGAUUGAAUUUGAUAGAUCAUCAUCUAGAACUCACACAAAGCUCUACCACCACCGUAAAUUCUAUAUGGUGGCUGAUGAACAGUUUAAAAGUUUUAAAUCAAUGUUUCGAGCCAUCUAGCACCUCUCUUUCCCCUCUGGGGACCACCAAAUCAAGAAGAAAGACCUAACCCAACAUCCUUACAUUUAGGGGUGAGCGUGGUUCCGGGUAGAACCGGGAACCGGAACUGAACCGGAGGAGGUUUCAGUUCCCGGUUCUAAGGGGACCGGUUCCAGUUCCCGGUUCUCUUUUUCCAGGAACCGACGAUUCCCGGUUCCGGUUCCGGUUCCCAUAGGAACGGGAACCUGAGGAACCGGAACCGGCAAAAUUAAAAAUUAAAAAACCCCAAUCCCUUCCGCGCGAAUUUCCCCCCUUCAAUUUUCCCCCCUUUCCCUUUAUUUUUCUCUCUAUUUUCUCCCCUUUUUCCUCCUCACGUCACUUCCUGCGCCCCACUUUUUUCUUUUCCCCUCUCUCUCUCUCUCCUCUUUCCUCCUCUCUCAGCCGAACCCUCCCACCUCCUCCUCCUUCUUCUUCUUCUUCUUCUUCUUCUUCCUUCCUCUCGCCGGUUGCUGCUUCACCCACCACCACACCGCCGCCCCACGCCCUACUCACCACCACCUCUUGGCCACCGAACCCCCCCCCCCCGCCACCCUCUGCUCGUCCGACAAGCCGUCUCACUGUUGAGCCCGACGAGCUGUCUUGCCGUCCGCGCCGCCGUGAGGGACCGCCGUCGUCCCCAAGCCACCGUCCCCACCUCUUGCUGCCGCUUGCUUGGCCGUCCGGGCCGUUGUUGCUCUGAACUGUCACCCCCUCCGCCCGAACCCGGAACCUGUUAGGUUAAGCCCCAAAUUAAUUUACCCUAGUCUCAGUUCCCACUUUCACUUCACACUUCCUCUCUGUCUCUACCCGACGUUGCUCACUAUGCUCCGUGCUCGCCCUUGACGAGUUCCUCGACGAAUCUCCACACGGAGUCGGGCCUCAAGUCCCUCGACGAGUUCCUCUCCGGCAAGACCUACAUCUCCAGGUAAAGCUCGUCUACAAGAAGCCGGCAAAGAAGACGACCGCAUCCCCAUCUUCGUCGGCUCGGAGGACCUCGCGUGGAACCAUGUAUCAUCCCACCAGAGGCAGCGUUCGCGGUGGCAAAGACCGUAAGCUCUCUCUCUCUCUCUCUCUCUCUCUCUCUCUCUCUCUCUCUCUCUCUCUCUCUCUCUCUCUCUCUCUCUCUGCAUCGUUCUUUUUAAGCUCUUGAGCAUUUGUGUUGUAUUCUCUUUGCUCGAUUCGAAAGCGCGGGGCUUUGAAGCUUGGGCUGGCUUUUACCUCCUCGACAACGAGAUUCUCAUCCUCAAGGUAUGUCCCUCUCUUUGGACGUCAAUGGCUUUGGUUGGAUUUGCUAGGGCUCGUGGCGCGGGUUUACUUGUUGUUGGGGGCUUCUGUGCUUCGGCUCGUGCGCGAGGGUUUCUUUUGAAUCUUAAUUUGGGGUCCGUGCAUUGAUGGGGGUUUUGAUGGGAUUUCAUUUGUUUUUCUGUUUUGUGAUGGUAGGAGGAGAUGCAGAGGACGAAUCUGGAGCUGGAGUCGUAUAAGGAGAAUAUAAAGGAGAAUCAAGAGAAGAUUAAGCUCAACAAGCAACUCCCUUACUUAGUCGGCAGUAUUCUACUCUUUAAUGUUUAAUGUAUACUUCUGCUUUGGGCAGGAUGCAAGGAUAUUGAUGAUGCCCUGCACUAUACAGCCCUUUCCAAUGGAAAUUUUGAAGUUGGAGUUCGUAUCCUUAGUUGGGCUUUCCCAGGGCUUCAUAUUUAGAUUUAACAUGGUUGUGACUUAAGAUUAAUCCUGCCAUAAUGGUUUUUCUAGAGUCGUUUGCAUAGGAAAGUUCAUGGCCUGUAUUCAGGUAAACAGAAGUUGAAGUUGAUGUCAUGUCAGAAUACUUAAAUUAAUGGAUAUAGAGCCUCAUCUGGUUCGGUUCUGUUUCUUCCCAAUCCUUCUGUGGAUUUUUAUUUUCUUUAAUCUUGACUAGCUGCUUAUGAAACUUCUACUUAUCCUGUGAGUAUAUGUUCUGAUAAUAACUUCUCUGGUGCACCCUGUUUGUUAUCGAGCAUAUUCAAGGAGUAUUUAUCAAUUUUGUCCUUCACUUUGUAGUAAGUGCCACCAUCUUCUGAGGUGGUCUUGCCUUGACAAGGAUGCCUUUCUUUUUACUGAGUUCUUUUGCAUUACCUUCUUGCCAUGGCAUUGUCUGGCAGAAAUGUUUUGUUGAUUCUAGUGAGUGAGGCUUUCUUGGGCCAAGUUACUUUUAGCUGCUUUUGUCGUUCCUAAUUUUCUCUUUUGGUCCUUCCUUGAGCUGGGUAGAGAUAAUUCUUAUGCCUUUUGUUUCUGCACAUAUUUUCCCCUCAAAUUUCUGAACUUGAUCUCCAAAAUCUCUGACAAACUCUCAGCAACUUGAUUUACAAGCUUUAUCUAGUCUAUCAAUUUUUCGAGCAUGGUUCGAUUUGACUCCAUGUUGAUGGGGUCCAAGUCAAUUUUGUUCCGCACUAAGGUACCCUGGCAUUCACAUACUAAGGAGUAAAGAGUUCAAGGGCCCACAAUUUCAACAAUUUGAAUUUUUGGUUUUUGAAGACUUAGCCAGGAAUUUUUCCUUAAUGUUAGUCACCUAGAUAUUGCUGACGUGACAAAUUUUUUGCACCCUUCCACACCACUCGAUGAUGAGGCUAUGCAAAGGGGCACUUCUGUUUACCUUGUUGAGCGCCGCAUUGACAAGCUUCCAAAGCCUUUGACAUAAGGUAAUAUGACAUUUAGAGCUGUAAAAUGUCUCUUUAACAUCAAAGAAAAGACUGAUUGUGGUUAAUCCAUGGUCCUGCCUAUAUCAAACUUAACAUGUGAAUUUAUGUUGCAGAUAUAUGUUCACUUCGGGUAGAUGUGGAGAGACUAGCUUUUUCUGUUAUUUGGGUAUGUUUCUUGUUCUAUCUUCGUCAUUUGCUGUGCUCUUUUUGGUAAAGAGGAUUGCAUGUCCAUUAGCCGCCAUCACCAGACUACACUAAAUGAUAGCUCAUGUGCUUACUAAUCAUGAAUUGUCGGCCCUGUGUAUACCAAUAUAUUGAUUGAUCUUCCCAUGAAAGGAGAACAAUCUUGUUUACUGCCCAUUUUCAGGAAAUGACACCUGAAGCAGAUAUAAUAUCCACAAGAUAUACAAAAAGUAUUAUUAAAUCAUGUGCAGCUCUGUCUUAUAUUGAAGCUCAGACAAGGAUGGAUGACAGGUAAUCAUGUAAAUGUUGAGAAGGCUAUUCCUCUGUUCAUAUGAGCUCUUUUCUGGUGUAUAACCUCUCACACAUUGUACUAAACUUGUUAUGAUUAAUCAACAUGCUAUUUCCACAUGACUUAUCCUCUGUUCAAUAAAUUUUCACGUUAGCAUAAUUCGGCAGUUCCUAUUCUUGCUGUUGAGUCUUUCAUGAGUCUUCCAUUUUUUUAAACUAAAAAUGAAAAAAAAAAAAAAAACUCGUUGGAACCUGUUGGAACCUGGAACCGACCCCGGAACCUGUGAUAGGGUAGGUUCCAGGUUCUUGGUUCUGACGGGUAGGUUUCAGGUUCCAAAAAAUGAGGAACCUGUACCCGAGGGUAGGUUCCAGGUUCCAAGCGGAACCUGUAAGGAACCAGGAACCGCUCACCCCUACUUACAUUGCCACACAGCGAGGGCUUACGCUUACCAUAAGAAAAAACCAAAUGCAACGCAAAGCCUUACCGAGCUCACCGCCUAUUCUACCUUUCCAUCAAUGGUCUCCUGCCACGUCAUAGAAACCCCCAACUUUCAAAACAGUACCUCAAGGACUCCCCCACUAUGUGAGCAACAAUCCCGUAAAGCGGAGCAAUCGACAUCAGUCGAUUAGCGCCAUCAAAGCGCCCUAGGGCCCGCACAACGCAACGGCUGAGAUUGCGUCUGUGGCUCGCGAGCUACUUGGGAUCACGUAAUCUUGCGAAGCAGCGGAACAAUAGCCUAGGGGUCGCCUUAAAUUCACUAACGUUGAUGUGUCGCCUUCCCCAACUGGGUCGACAAAUCACGGCUCAACACAGUGCCUAGAGUCAACUCCCCCGCCCGCAUCCAUAAAAAUGGUCGAGCAACGAGCAAAAACUAAAUUGCGCAGUUUGGCAUCUAAGAUAGAAUCGGGGCUUUGGGGGUAUGGUUAAUCUGGAAGCAAGAGCUUCCUUCCAUCGGGAAAAAAAAUUGUAAAAGAAAAAAAGAUCAAGUAAGUGUAAAUGAAGUCAAGUGAGUAUGAUUGUACAUGCCCAUGAGAACUACGAAAAUUUUUAUAUAAAAAAGAUAAGAAUUGAAAGGGAUGACAAUUUGUGAUACAAAUUAGCAUAUUCGUAGAUGAUUAUCUGACAAAUUCGAAAACGGCACGACUUGAUACAAACAUAAUAAAUAUAAGUUUGUAACAAAAUCAACAAAAAUAUGGUGUUGUCCAAUGAACAUGGAUUGCCAGGCAGUCGAUUUUUUAUGUUUAUUUUGAUAGAAAGUACUUAUAUUUUGUUACGUUUGGAAGAAAGAUGCUAACGUGAAAGUUUUAGAAUGCUCAAAAUAUCUCUCAAUAACCUAUACACCUACCCAACAAGCAGAAGCUGACAGACUCCUUUACAUGAUUCCUCUUUCUUUAAUUAUUAGGUAAUUAGCAACAUUCUCAUGCGUUUGCACAGGCAUGGAAUUUUUCAUUUUUGUAAAAUCAGAAUAUGUUUUAAUACAAAUAAUUAACUAAAUUGUAUCUCAUUUCUUAUGAAUCUCCCUUUUAUUGAAGAAAAAAGUCUAAAUUCUUAACUUGUAUUAUGUAAAACAUAGGGAUUUGAUAUCAUUUAAAAGUUCUUAAUUGUGAUCAUUAUAUGAUAUAGUGUGAUUUUUUUAUAUAAAAUAUACAUCAUUGUAAUAAUGAGAGAAAAUUACAAAACUCAUCAAAAGAAACAUAGGAAGAGUUACAUUGCUAAUUUGCAAUGCUAAAACUCAUUAAAGCCAAUGGUCUCAAACAAGGCAACCACCUAUGAGAAUGAGGACUACGCGUUGGAAGCAAGAUGAGUGGAAAGUACAAGGAGAGUUUCAAUUCCAAGGAGAACAAUCUUCUAGCAAAUUACAAGUUUAAGUGAUGCUCAUUAUGGAUAUUAAUGAAGAAUACUCCGUAUUAAAUAUUUAUAUAAAUUUUCAAGUGAGGUUGCCGAUUCGGCAAUGAAGUGGAAACAAUAGCACAUUUAGAAAAUUAGCCAUGCGUCUGCCAUAGCGAUAGUUUGCUAGAAAAUUUCGUAUGUUUUGUCAAAUGACAUUUUUAUUUGAAAUUAUAUCACUCUAGAACAAUUAAAAAGUCAGGCUAAAACAAAACAAUGAAAAACAAGAUUGUUUGGGUCAAAAUGAACAAAUCUUCCUUAGAUCAUUUUACCCUCGAAAGAACUCAAUAUUGUAGUUCAUACCAAUAAUUAAGUCCAACUAUUGAAAAUAGCCCUAAAUAUCUCAUUAAAAAAGAUUAAAGUCAAUAUAUCAGUCCUAUUAAAGGGCCCAUUUAGUUAAGUCAAAGUGGAUCCGCCUUAAACUUUUCUAUUUCAUUUUCCAUUGAAAUGUCCUUCCACCAUCUACUCAAGAAGUUAGAUGAGUCGACUAAAAUAGUUACAUCAAGAAAACUUAACGAACAUCUGACGAAAUUAAAAAUUGUUAUUAUGCUUUCCAAGUUAUCAACGGGUCGCUCGCUUUCAUUAUUGAUAGCUCGAUCAGCUCGAUUAUACAAGUGAAACCAUUACCUCGAACGAGGGGCAAUUUGCACAAAUUAAAGUUCAUAGAUCGAUCGAAUUUGAUUGAUCAUUAUCUAGAACUCACACAAAGCUCCACCACCCCUGUCAAUUUUAUGUGGCGGCGGGUGAACAGUUUAACCUAAGUUUCAAACCAAUGUUUCGAGCCAUCUAGCACCUCUCUUUCCUUAUGUGGAUCACCACAUCGAGAAGAAAGACCUAACCCCAGCAUGGCAUGAAAAACAUCCUUACAGUCCCACGCAGCAGGACUUCCUAUAAGAAAAAAAACCAAAUGCAACGCAAAGCCCUACCAGUGGCCCAUUGCCCAUUCUCCCUUUCGGCCAAUGGUCUCCCACCACGUCAUAAAAAGCCCCCUACUUUCAAAACAGUACCUCAAUGAGUUACCCAAACCACCCCCCUUUAUGUGAGGAACAAUCCCGUAAAACUGAGCACUCGUGACUAGUAGAUUAGCAUCGUCCAGCGCACCAGGGCCCACUUGGCGCAACGGCUAAGGUUGCGUCUAUGGCUCGUCAGUUACCCGAUGCCUGGGAUUCGACCUUAGCGCACGCACGUGGCGGACCCGGACCAGUGCAGCCACGUAGGCUCACGGAGCAGUGGAACAGUACCCAGGUCGCCUUAAAUUCACAUAUGUCAAACUUAUGUGAUCUUCUCUCUCCUCAUGUUUUUCUUUCUUUCUUUUUUCUUUUAUUACUUUUCCUUCCACACAUGUGCAUUUAUAAUUGGAAUUUCUAUCUUUUCUUUUUUGGUUCUUUUCAUAUGUUCUCUUAAUGCAAUUUUGCUUACUUCCUGAUUGUCUACUUCUUAAUAAGGUCUAUGUUGUAAUAAAAUUGUCGAAUAUUUACAAUUUCUUUUUAGCUAGUUUUUGAUGAGAUCUUGAUUUUUGAAACGACUCCAAAAGUGUUGACUCUAAAAGAUGAUACUAUUGUAAUUUUAUACAUAAAAAAAUAUAAAAAUUGAAAGAAUUGACAAUUUGUGAUACGAAUUAACAUAUUUGUAAAUGAGUAUUUGACAAAUUUGAAAAUGACACGAAUUGAUAUGAACAUAAUAUAAGUAAAUUUAUAGCCAGCUAGUUGAUUUUUUAUUUUUAUUUUGAUAGAAAGUACUUAUAUUUAGUUAUAUUUGGAAAAAGACGCUAACAUGGAAGCUUCGGAAUGUUCAAAGUAGUUCUCUCAAUAACCUAUACGCCUACCUAGCAAGCAAAAGCUGAGAGACUCCUUUUGCAUGAUUCAUCUUUCUUCAAUUACUAGGUAAUUAGCAGCAUUCUCACUCGUUUGUACAAGCGUGGAAUCUUUCAUUUAUGUAAAAUCGGAAUAUGUUUCUAAUACAAGUAAAUUAAAUUGCAUCUCAUUUCAUACGAAUCUCCCUUUUUUGAAGAAAAAAGGCUAAAUUCUUAACUCUUAUUAUGUAAAACAUAGAGAUUUUAUCAUAUUUAAAAAUUCCUAACUGUCAAUUAGUAUUCACCCAGCAAAUUACAAAAAUCAUCUAUAUGUGUUUAUAUAAUAGGAAGACUUACAUUGCUAAUUUGCUACACUAAAACUCAUUAAAACCAAUGGCAUCGAACAAGGAAACUACCUAUGAGAAUGAGGAAUUCUUAUUGGAAGUAAGAUGAGUGGAAAGUACAAGAGAAGGAGAACAAUCGUCUUGCAAAUUAAAAGUUUUGGUGAUUAUAUUAAAUAUUUAUAUAGAUUUUCCAGUGAAGUGCUGAUUUGAUGAUGAAGUGGAAACUACAGCACAUUUAAAAAAUUAGCCACGUGUCUUGCACAUCAAUAAUUCGCUGGAAAAUUUCGAACUUUGUGUCAAAGUGCAUAAAUUAUAAUGAAAUGAAAAUUAAUUGACUUAGAUGAUUAAAUAAAAGUUCAAUGACUCUAUUACAAGAUCUUUUACUAUAUAGUUACCCCAUAAUUUUAAGAGUUAACAAUUGAGCUUUAAUGGUGCAGUAAUCAUGUGGAACGCAAUCAAUUUUAACCAAAUAGGGCUUUGGUAAUUAUGCUUAGUCUCCAGUAUAACUAUUUAUUAGUUAAUUUUAAUUAAUUAGCCAGAUGGCGUAAUAAUUAUUUAUAUGCAUAUAUCUUUAUUCUAAUUUCUUAACAAUUUGAUGUGAUUGAUCUGGCUCUUGUUGGUGUGAAUUGAAACUUGACAAUUAUUUGUAGCGGCAUGUGGCAACUUGAAAUGCUCAGCAUGUAUACUUCUAAAAUGUUAUAACACAUAAAAUUGAUGCCUUUACUCUAUCAGAUUUUUAUUAUAUUUUAUAUUUUGACAUAAGGUUAAUCACUUACCUCUUGAUUGAAGAGGACAAUAGAGCACGAUUUGACGUGAUCCUCAUCCCAAGCUUCUAGUGUACCUGUGAUCAAUUUUUCAUCGGAUGAAAAGAAUGUCAUAAAGAAUGUCAUCUUUUGCAUUGCAAGGAUGAAUUAAUCCAAGAAGAUCUUCAAUGAUGAAACCAAAACUAACAAUCUUACACUUUCUAUGAGAGAAACACGACAAGCUUCUCAACCAUGUCAAAUAUAACUUGGUUAACAUUGGGAAUGCUAGAGUUUUUGAUGUUUCUAUUCUCAACCCUUCUUCCUCCAUAAUGAUUGCCUCCAUGUUCAUGCAAUAACAUACAUACAGUUCUCUCAAUUGUGCAAGAGACUGAACCAUAGAUGGCAAAAAUAGAAACCGGAGGUUGGUACAAUGCCACACCUUUAAAUACUUCAAAUUAUGGAAUCUCACAAUUCCACAAGGGUUCUUGUUCCAUAUGCACCUCAAACUUGGUAAUUGAAUUAUAUAGAUGGCGUUUAGCGCAGAGAGAGUCUCAAUAUUUGCACCGGCACCUAGUCCAUCAAGGUCAAAAAUUUCUUGCACUGAAAUGCAAUCUUCUACCUCUAAAGUGUGUAACUUGUGUAGUUUUAUUAGUGACCUGGAGUUAAUAACUUUUGAGAGAGAUUUGCAUGAAUACAGCUUAAGAAAUUGGAGAUUGCUCAGCUCCAAUGGAGAUUCAUCAGUCCAUAAAUCUUCUAGAUUGGGAAGUCUAGCCAUUGUCAACGACUCCAAGGAUGGCAUUAAAACCUGACGAAUAAACCCAUUAGCAAAGAGCAACAAAGAAACUUGCGCGCUAUAGCAGGUAUUACAAAUGGUUGCGAAAGGAAAUUUACAAACUUAAGAUAACUUUUGCAUUUACAUAUAUCUAUGAUAGGGAAGCUGAUUUGCAAUCCGGAAAGGUAUCAAAAGACAACUAAUAAACUUCAUUUUUUAUUUACAAUAUAUACUCAUGGAUGUUACUAUAAUUAAUUUUCUUUGCAAUUUACUAAUAAUAAGAGAAAUUAUGGUCAUCAAGAAAUAACAGUCAUUCAUUUUGCUAAUGACUAUGAAAAUUCACGAUCCAUAUAGCAAAAGAAAGUGCAUUCAAGGUAAAUUACUUCCUAUAAGAUAAACCACUCCCUCUUAGGUUAUGUUACCAUUGUGACAAUAUAUGACUCAUUUUAUCAUAUGAUUGCGAGAAAGUACUGUACUAUCUCACAACAGAGAUUACUACAAUGAAACAAUAAUAAAGAAACUAUAGAAUGACCAUGAUUAUGAAAGAUAUAGGCAAUUUACUUAUAAAGGAAAAUAUCUCAUUGCAAUAAUUGAUCAAUAAGGCAAGAUUGCAAUUAUGAGAAAUAAAUUAUUAUGUUGUAAGACCUUAAUUACUACCUACCUAAGGGAACUUAGCUCUGACAAAAUAAAUAAAUAAAUAAAUGUAGCAAUUUCAUAAAGUAAUUUGCUACUUCAGAAGGGAGGAUUACUGUCACGAUAGUUUUGUUACUGAUAACUUCCUAUGCCUACGCCAUGCACUUAGCCUGCUUGGGCUUAUUCAAAAUCAAUCAAUUAAUGUGUGAAGUAUUAUAAUUUAUAUAAUAAGAUCCAAUAAAGUAUUGUAUUUUUAUCUAAUGACAUGACGAGUUUGUCUUUCAUAGUUGUCCCAUAUCUUCUCACAAAUGGCAGUACCUUCUAUCUUUGAUAUUAACUAAUUUGGUAUGGAUAGUCUACUGCAAUCCUUACUAUUGUCUGCAACACAAAUACUCAAAACACACGACGCAUUAUUUUCUUUUCGGUUUUUCUUGUUUUUUUUUCCUUUGUCAUUUUACCAAAUUCUUGUUCACUCUCUUUACAUCACCGAAGAAUCAACAUCAGGAAAGCACGACCAAGGCGCAUGCUGAGUUCGUGAGAGAAAUAGAUAGAGAUAGAAUUUGCGCUUGGUCCGCAAAGGAGAUGACCGAGCACAAGUGUAGAAUCCGUGAGCUGUCGGUGGCGACGUUGACGGAGGUGAGUUGUGGCUGGUCAUGGUGGUGGCGGGUGAGCGUGGCGACGGUGGGGGCAAGCAGAUCUGUCUCUCAGCCCUUCAGCGCAUGGUGAGAAGGUGCGAGAGAAGAUGCAGACCCUCUCGCGGUGCACAAUUUUUGGGGGGAGAGAGAGAGAGAGCCCAAACAUAAAGAAAAGCAAGAUGACACGUGUCGGCCAGCCCUGCGUGUCGUAGACAAUGGGUGCAUAGCUGGCCGCAAACAUCCAUACUCACGCUUCCUUUUAUACUUUGUAGUAGGGCAACUUAAAUUUGCAGGAAUCUUUAUUACGUAAUUAUAGUAGAGCAAUCGUGUCUAAUCAACUAGAAGGCUCCAAGCAAUUUUUGUUGUACAAAACCGCCAUGCGUUUUCCUUAAUUGGACCACUGCUUGUCAUUACUUUACUUACUUCUCUUACUAACAAUAACCAAUUUAAUCAACUAUACAUAAACAACCUCAAUUUCAAUUAAAUGUCAUUAGUUGUUGUUGUGAUGAUCUAAAUUAUCAACUUCAUAUUCAUAAAUACUAGAUUACAUAAUGCUUUAGAACAUUUUCUAAGUCAGAUUUCUAGGUGUUAAAGGUUUAUUAUACAAAUCAUUUAAUUAUUUUUCUUGUGAAUGUUAUAGUCUACCAUACAAAAUCAUACCUUGAAAUUAUGCUUCAACCAGGUAUUCGCUUGAAAAACAUUUCCUUUUAAGCACUAAUUAAGACCAUGAAUUUGACCAUAGUGAAGGAAUAAAAAACAUGAGAUAGUUUAGAAAUGAGCAAAAGAAAAAAAACUCAAUUACGUGAAUUCAUUAAUAAUUUUAAGCCCAAUUGUGAUUAAACAAAUCAGGAAAAUGACAAUGAUUUUUCACGGCUUCACAUAGAAUUUGUGAGUUAUUUUUCAGUAAAUUAUAAUGAUCAAGUUUCCACUCCAUUUUGGACCAAACCUAUGUACAUUCCCUUGAUUUACUUCAAAAUCAUACUUAAGUUCACGAAAAAUAAAAUGCUAUCAAUCAUUUCUGUUAAUGAAAUUUGUCAACAACACUAACAUUGGAACUUGAUUUUCAUUAGUUUUCAAAAUGUGAGGACUAUUCCAAAUAAUAUAUUUAGGGCUCAAUUGACUCGUGACUAAAAAGUUGAGACUCCUAUGACACUUUCUCUCUAAACAUAUUUAGGGCUCAAUUGCUUGUUACAUGUGAUUUUUUAAGAUAAAGUUGCAAUUCUUGUGUAUCUUUCUUAAAUCGUCCUUUGGCCUUUGAGUGCACUAAAACGAGUUGAAAACUUCCAAAAUAAAUGAAGAAAAAUGAGGAAAAAGAUGCGAUGAUCUUAACAGAGAUUAAGACAUAAAUUACUAAUAAUACGGUUGACUUCAUAGAAAAAGCAAAACCUCUAGUGGGCUUUCAAAUAUAUCAUAAGAAUAUAAAACAAUCAUAGAAAAGGCUAAUUUUUUUUUUAUUCCAUUAUGCAGAUAGCCUCCCUAGUCAACUAUUUUAAACAAAUCUUGGAAGUGAAUGUGUACCACUUUAAAUCUUCAUAGGGGAUUUUGUGUUGUUUUUCCUAAAAUUACUCAGAUCCUAUCACAAACUAAAUUUAAAUGGAUUUCAUUCUAUUAGUUGGACUUUCUCCACAAUGAAGUGAAACAAAAGAUUGCUUUAUCUAAUUGCAGAGAAGGCAUGAUUGGAUAAGGUAUUUAGGAAGAAAAUGAACUGAAAAUUAAAAAAAAGAAAAAGAACAAGGAUUAAAAUCUAAGUUACAUCUAAAUAGCAAAUGAGCAAAAGAUUAAUAAAUAGUAUAUUCCUUUAAUAGAAAGUUACCUGUUGCUCGUUGAAGAAUGCAACUAGAGUGCCAACUUGGUCAUUUGAUGUACUUGAAGGAGCUGUCCUAGUGGUGAAAAAGUUUUUGGUAUUUGGCAAGUCACGCAACUCCAAUACAUGCAAAUUACGAAACUCAACUUUGCCACAAUCAUCAACUUCCACGAUCUCCCGCACUAAGUUGCACUUGACAGCUCGAACCUCUUCAAGCUGUGGAAGUUUUCUCAAUAAUGAACUAGGAAACAAAAUUUCCAUCUUGUCACAACUUUCAACUCUUAUCACUUUUAAUGCACUAAAGGACUUGGAGGAAAUAGAGUAGUUGCAUAUCUUCUCUAAGUUGAUGAGAUUCUUGAGAAGUAAUGACUCCAAUGUCUUAAAAUCUGUAUGGGACGGCGAUUGGAGGACAUAAUGGAUGGAGGGACUAUUCUCGACGUGCAAAUGCUUUAAUUUUGGAAAGCCUUCUUGGGAUAACUUGCAAAUACUUUGCUCAAUUCCGUUUGAUCCAUCUAAAAAUAGAUCACUUGUUUUGCCUAAGAAAGUCUGGAUGAAUCCUUUCUCAAGAAUAUUGCUUAUUGGAUCCAACUUAACUUGUAAUGUGCUCGAGCCUUUGUGAUUUGGCCACUCUCGUGCAUCACCUAUCUGGAUUUUGUACUUGGUUAAUUUCUCAACGUUUAGAUCCUCAAGGAGCCUAUUUGGAUCGAGAAUGGACACAUGCAAAGUGCAGAGAUUCUUCAAGUUAUUCAACUCAAUAAGCUUAGCAUUAGUUGGCGGAGUUUGCUCCAUAGCAUUCCAUCGAUCAAAGCUAUUCUCUAUAUACAACUCCUCCAAUUUCAUCAAGCUUCCAAGCACACCCGGUUCAAUUAUCUCAAGUCGUGAGCAAUGGUUUAAGUCUAACAACCUUAGCUCUACCAAUUGUCCAAUUUCUUUUGGCAAUCGUUGAAUUUUAGAGUUCACAAAGCUGAGAAUAUGUAGGCCUUUUAGCUUGCCAAUCAUGGCUACAUCGUCUAACGAACAACUAUCGAGACACAAAGUGUGUAAAUUCUCCAAGAACUGAAACGGCGAAGGUGAAUGAGUGAGACAUACCUGAGAAAGAUGUAAGACCAUGAGUUUUUUCAUAGAGUUGAAAUAUGAAUUUGGGACCUUAAGAGAUUCAUUGUUUGUGAACAAUAAAAAGAUCCGCAUUUCAGGGCAAUCUAACUCUUUGGGAAGCUCCUUCAUGUUAACAUAGGCAAAGCAUAUUGCCGUACAACUUUUGAGCUUGUCCUUUGGCAGUUCUAACACUGACUUAUCAUUAUCUUUCAACACAAGAAGAGGGUCAUCUCUCGAAGCGACCGAGGCAACAAAUCCACGAACCAAGUCAUGUAUCUUGAAACCAUCAACAUCUUCAUCGUCUUUUAACAAAAGAGAGGAGGCUUUCAGGGUUUGGACAAGUGAGCUCAUCCUAUCUCUAACUUCUUCCAUGCUAGUAUCUUCUUGAAAUAACCUUGAACCCACACUGUACCUCACCAAGUUUUCAAGAGAGGGUUUAGGCACACCAUAAACAACACAAAGUCGUAAUAGCAACUUCACCUCCUUGCCAUCCUCCCCUUUGAAACGAUCAUAACUCAACUGCAGCAUCUCAUUUAUCCUCUCACUAAUUCCUCUGUUUGUAGACUUCUCGAUUUGUCUCAAAACAUCCUUCCAUUCAGGAAAAUUGGCGUCCUUAAAAAUAUUCGCCAUUGCAAUUAUGAGGAAAGCCAAACCUGCACAUCUGUGGACUGCUUCAUCCACCAAGGAUUUGAACGGGUCAUCAUGGACUUUGUUUCCCACCGUCCUCUCAAACAAUCUUUUUGCCUCUUCAUCCUUCAGCUCUUCAAGGCAGAAGUCCCUGUCGCAGCCCAUUUCCCUUCGCAAAAUAUGUUGAAAUCUUGACGUCAGCAACAACUUGCAUCCUAUGACUUUGUUGUCAUGUCCGCAAGGAAUGCCCACUGAUUUCAAGUCCAGCCCCUUCCAUAGGUUGUCCAGUAUUAUGAGGACCUUCUUUUUUGCCUUCUCUUCAUUUUCCAACAUCUUGUGCUCGUCAUUUUCCAACCUCUUGUGCAAAAGCCCCGCUCGCCCGCUGAUAGUCUCUUUGUUCUUUAUCUCAGUAAGGCCCAAGCCGUCCGCAAUCUCUCCUUGAAUCCUCUUGAUGUCUUCAUUUUCCGACACAUCGGCCUUAGCAACCCAAUCAAAUGACUUCUCUUUCCUUAUUCUCCUUUCCACUUCCCCCAAUAGGGUGGACUUGCCGACCCCGCCCAUCCCAUAAAUCCCGACCACGCUAUGGUUGUUAUCAGCAAGAGCGGCCAUGAUGUCCCGAAUGAUAGAAGCUCUAGAUUCGAAGACAUCAUUGUCCCUAACCUUAUUCGAUGUCGAGGCGAAAGAAGCAGAGGCCGUCACAGUGGCCAACUGGACGACAUCUUUGCUCUCUCUCUUGGACGGAGUCAGAGCAGCAACGUUCCCUGGAGCAGGAUUGCUGGAGGAGAUGUCGUUCAGUUCCUUGAAUUCCCUGCAUUUUUGAGUGAGUCGCUGAAUGACCUCAAUCUUGUCCUUGGCCUUCCUACUGAAUUGAUAGCGACACUUGGGGUCAGGAAGAGUCCCAUAGCAGCAAGUCUUGCUCGCCUCUUGGAAGUCGCGCAACAGGUCUCGCGCCUCCUUCAAGGCCUUCUCAGCACUUGCAUGCCACUCCGUGACGCGACCGUAGACAUUCCGAAGAUUGUUUCUGGCCUCUUCAGCGACAUUGUGGACCCUAUCAACCUCAUUCGCAAGCUCCUCGACUUCCUCCUGAAGAUCUUGGGCGUGCCUCUUCGAGUAGAUCACGUAUCCGAAUUGACGCUUGGUGGGAGCAACUACGGACUUCAAGACAUCCCACCCAAUAGAAAUAACAGUAUCAAUCGACAUCUUCCUUUGAUAUUUUUUCCGGGAAAGAAAGAGCGAGAAAACAGAGAGAGGAGAGAGAGAAUGACAAAAAAAAAGGCAGCAGAUGAGUGAAGAAGAAUGGUUAUGCGGAGGAGAAAGAGCGAAACAGAGUAAGAAGGAUGAGAGAUGAAGAAGGCGAAGAUAUUUGAGUACUGAAAAGGAUGAGGGAUCAUCGGCUGAGAUUCAGUACCGGAGAUUUAACGAUUUGAAAUAAAAGAAAUUCCGCCGUCGGUCGCCCCUAUCAAGCCACCAAUGUGGACUUGCAAAGAUUGUUCCUUUCCUCCUCUGCGAAUAGACAGAUAUCUAAUUAAUGUGGACCAAUAGGUGAAAACAUGUCUUGACUUUUUAUGAAUUAUCUAUCCCAAACCGAUUAAGCUCAGGCCUUGACCUGUGUAGGUAGCUCUAACCUAAAUCAACUUGCACGCAACUUGUGAGAUUGAAACGGGCGAUUUUCAGUUCCGAACAGAAAAUCUCGCAAUGCCUUAACCAAUUGAACAAAUCUUGCAAGCAUAACAUUUUAUUAUAACGAGCAAGUGUAUUUUGCAUUCUGUUUCAUUUCUUAAGAAAUAUGAUAAUGUCUACAUAAAAUUAUCGUACUAUUGACAUUCACUAAUUGAAUGAUAGAGAGGCUAAAUAAGCAUAAUGUUAAAGUAAUAGUAUCAUAUGAUAGAUAUUCAUGAUAUGACCUCAGGAUAUAGAAUGUUAGCUGGCUAAAAUUAUAUGCGUUUAUUAGUCCCAGAGGCAAACAUGCCCAUCAAAAUUGUUAGGUUGGAAAGGGAAAUUUACUACCAAUGCGGUAGAUGCAGUAUGACCGUUUGAAACUAUUUUGACUAAGUAUAAACAAUUAAAGUCAUGAGGCACAUAUUCCUCGUAAUUACGUUGAGUAUAACAUUUAUCUAGUUAACAAGAAACUAAUGCGUAUAAAAUAUUAUUAUAUAUGAAUAAUCUAUCCAGUGAGUAGUGCAUAAUAUUAGCUUAGGUGGUCGCCACAUUUUUUUGUUGGAGAAUGUAGCAAAUCCAAUUCUUGGAAUUAGGAGAAGACCUCUCUGCUUAUCUAGAAUGCUAUGUGUCAAUGUUAGAUGCAGCCCUUAGGGAGGAAAUUGACAUGAUUAUAAAUAUAGAUUCUCCAAUUAAUUUUUGUACGUGAAGUUAGUGCAUAUAUAUCUUUCGUAUAAAAAAGUACAAUUUCUCAAAAAGAAAAAGCACACCCAAACAAAGACAAUUAUAAUAUAAUCAAAUUCAGAGUCUUCUUCGCAAAGACUGAUAUUAUUUAGUCAUAUAGAUUUCAACGUGAAGUUAGUACAUAAUUUUGUGUCAACAAGUUUAAUUUCUCAAAAAGAAAAUUUACACCCAAAAAACACAAUGAUAAACACUAUCAAACCGAGACUCCCUUUCCACACACAGAGAUACUGUAGGUGAGAAUGGAAAAAUGGAGAAGUUGCUGCCUCUUUUUGCCCGAUAAUCGACAACCAUUAUGAGAUCGUUAGAUGCGCAGCUACCCUUUUCGCACGAUAAAAAGUUCGUCUCAUUUUUCCGGACAGCUUUACGGCAAAGAUGGGGGAGGGCUUCACGGCAAGAAGAAUUCUUUAGUUGACCGUGUAUAUGUGUGGCCUGCAGAGGAAAGUCGGUGAGUGGAGGUGGGCGUCCGUGAAUGGGGGAGGGGAUGAGCGGCUUCGGUGGCGUCGAUUCAAAGGGAGAGCAGCGGUCUUCGGCAGAAACAAAAUAGAAGAAAAGAAAGGCAGCAGCUGAGAGAGAUAAAUGAAAGCGAAGCAGCACCGUGAAGAAGGAGGAAAAAGGAACGACGUGGACGAAGCUGCACCGAAUGAAAUGAAAAAGGAAGAGGCGUCUGUGGAGAGCAGCUGGAUGGAUCGGCUAAGGAGAUUAGAACAAAAGGAAUUGGUCAAAGAUAAAUAUCUAGGCAUUAAAACCUUGUCCCCAUAUUCCUUUCUAGCAAAUAUAAUCCAUAAAAUAACCAACUUGAUGCCAAAAAUCAGCCCUCAAGCCAAAGCUCGGAAUUUCACAUUUUUGGCACUCAACUUCGGCUUCAAUUUCUUUUCCGAUUCCUCCAAUUCGAAGUCUCAUUACGUUGAAGAAAAAGUCCACAAAAUUUCUAUAAGUUCCCAACGUCCAAUAGCUCGGCCUAGAAGUCGAAAUUCCCUUCACAUGAGCUAAACCGAAUUUUCGUUCAUUUUUCGAAUCGAUUUUCCGUAAAAAUCCCGGAAUCUCCGAAAAAAUUUUCGAAUCGACCUAUCUCCGGUUUCUGAUCGAUUUUGUCAAUACCAUAAUGACCCUUGCAGAUUAGCACGGUCGAGCAGCCGAUUCCUAAUCAAAUUCUCAUCGCUCCUUAACGGCUUCACCUGAUAGGCUAGUUAACUCGUGAGUAGCCAACUCAGAGAAAAAUGCUAUAGACACGUCGAUGAAAAACCCAACUCGUUUCAUCGAAAUCAGACUCGAAAAUCAGGAUGUCAAACUCAUAAUGUGGGAAAUUGAUCCUUUUCUGGCAUCAUUUUUUCAGACUCAAAGUUUCGCAAUGGAAAGUGCAUAUGGACACACUGAUACCACAUGGCCCUUGGUGUCAGAUGCCGUUUUAUUAGCGGUGACUUGAAGUCCUUUCUUAACACUCUUCAUCAGCACUGUAUAUUAUUGGUGGGACAUUUCAAUGGUCUUUUUGUAAGAACAGGAAGCAUUUCUAUUCUACUGAGGGUCCUAACUCUAAGAUUUUAUGGGAAUAAAGGGUCUACUACAAUGCCUUUUUUUUUUUCUCUAUCGGGCUGAUAAAGAGAUAUAGUGUUAGAGUCUUUAUACGUGAGGACUACUUUUCUUUUUGUGGUGAGCCUGACGAAGAGCGAGUAAAACAGAGACAGAGAGGAAUGAUGAAACGGAUGCCGAAGAAGAAGAGAAGCAGGAAGAAGGUUGCGCCCAAAAAAGGAUGAGGGAUCAACGGCUAAGAUUUAGUACCAGCAAUCUAACGAUUUCGAAUCUUAAGAAUGACCGAAAUGUUGAGGUAGAAUGAGGAGAUGGGUAUGGAUGGAGAUAGACUUAGGAAGUUGAAUGGUAGCAGACUGCUCCAUGUCGUCGCUAGCCAAGAUAAAAUCAAUAGCAUGCUUAUUAAUAAUCGCGUCAUAGAAAUGGAUGACCCAUAAAAAUGGUAUAAUGUUCUAUUAUUGCCAUAUUAGACUUGAGCUGAAUUAAAUCAUUAUAAAAAAAGAUAUUGAUCCUAAGUUGAAAAUUAUUUUGACUUUUUAUGUAGGGUUAAUACUACGAAAAACUCCAAACUUGUACACUUAUGAAAAAUUUAUCUCAAACUAAUUUUUUGACUACAAAAAACCACAAAUUAAUACACAUGUAACAAAUUUACCCCAAAUUAAUUUUUGACCACAAAAAAUUCCAAACUAAUAUACCUGUGAGAAAUUUAUACCAAAUGAACAUUAAAAAAAAAAUUCUAAAUCGGUAUACUUGUGACAAAUCUACCAAAAACUAAUUUUUUUUAACUGUCAAAAAUCUCAAACUAGUACAUUUAUAAUAAAUAUACCCUUCGUUAAAUUGAAUUAAUACCACCAAAAAUUAAAAAACUGGUACAACUGUCAAAAUCUCAAAUUGGUGAAUUAAUCAAGUAUCACAUGUCAUUUAACUCAACAAUUUAAUAAUAAAAUUUAACGAAAACGAAUAAAUAGUAAAUUUGUCACAAAUAUACCAGUUUUGAGGAAAUUUGUCAAAUGUACACUCGUUUGGAGUUUUUUUUUUAUGUAUUAGUCCUGAUCCAUCCUUUUAUCUCGUUCCACUGCAAAUGGUCCUUUAAUUCCGAUUCUAGUUAUCACAAAUGCUUGGAUUUGUUUGGGUUUUUUCACUUGUAACAUCUAUUAUCCUAAUAUUACAUUUACCACAAAUUGAUUUUCAAAGCCUUCAAAACUAUACAUUUAUUGACAAGUGGAGUUAUUUGCUUUUCAUAAUUUAUAAAAUCAAACUAUUUCCAUUUUCAAAUUUUUUUAGCAAAAGCUAAAUGCAGAAAAUGAUACUUAAAAAAUGUAAACAAAAAGAACGAGUAAACUAUAGAGGUCAACAAAAAUGAUGAUGAAAUGUCGUAUAUAGUCUUUUUGGAAUCGCUCUUGCAUAUUCCUAAUUCAUGACAAUCAUCCUGGACAAUGUUAUCAAAAUGAAUAUAGAUGUAUGGAAAAAAAAAUGACUAAGAAAAUACAUGGACAAUAAAAGACAUCUUAAGUGGAGUGUCACUGUGCCACAUGGAUUGCUAGCUUGAUAAUUAAUCUGCAGCUUGCUGCCAUCCAUAUAACUACUAUGCGCAAGUUAUCCCAAAAAAUCAUAUCUUAAUCCAACGUAGCAUAAUACAAUUUGAUAAAAUGAUGAAGUCAACUUAACUUCCGAACCCUUUUUUCCUUGUUUUUCAUAAGUUAUAUCUUUGGCCUAACGUUAAAACCCAUUAUGCUUCUCUUCGUUACUUGUAUAAGAGAAUGUGGAUGAACUUGAGAUCUGAUCCGACUAGUAUUGAUCGGACCAUUCUAUUAGGGCAUUACCGUACAUAAAGACGGCACACAUGCAGCUCCUCUAAUUAGUGCAUUAACACUUUGUUCUACUUAAACCAAACAAAAGGCAUUAGAUGUAAGUACCAACGCUUCCAUCUCAUGCACAACUUUCUCCUCCUCCGCUAUCUCCUCUGCUAUUUAUAGUCCCAGGCUUGAUGUCUUCUUCGCCGGCUUGCUCUACUGGAAUGGCGGGCGCCUGCACAACUACCUCACUCCUUUUUCUCAAGCUCAGCCAUGAUUGAUAGAUCAGAAUGUCAAAUUACUCCUGAAUCCGUAUAUUUGUUAUGACUAAUUUCUAACAAAGAAAAUGUGAUCGCGAAUUGAAGUUAUGAGGAAUGUUCUCUUUCUAAUUGAAGUUGACAAGGAUCUUAUGCCUUAUAACUACCUAGUUUUAUGAGGAAUAAGUGCAUAUGAACAAAUUUUUAUGUGAAAUUAUCAUUCUCCGAAAGUAAGUACUUUAGUUUUUGUAAUAUAGGGGCAUGAACGUGUAGAAUUGUCAGGCUAGAAUCUUAUAAAACAUCCCGUAAGUCCUGUAAACUAGUCAAACUCAGGCCUUCGACCUAUAUAGGCUACUCUAACCUAGAGCUAUUUGAAUAUAUUUGUAAAAUUCAAACUGACAACCUCUAAUUCCUAAGCUGGAAAUCCCCAAUACCCCAGUUAAUUGCGCCAAUCCUAGAGUUAAGUGAGCAUAAUUUUUUUAUGUUAAAGAGCAAGUGUAUUUUGCACUAUGAAUCAUUUCCGAAGAAAAUGAAAACGUUAACAUAAAUCCAUCAUUUUCUAGCCAAAAUUAUCCAUGUUAGCACCAGCAAUCCUACAUGGCACUACUAGCGUCCACGUCAUCCUUUCCGACCAAAAUUGGCCGAAUAGACUCAAUUGGUAAGAAGUGAAAAUGUUUAGAACUGAAUUGACAAAGUUAAAAGGUUUAGGACUGAAUUGAUAAAAGUACAAUAGGUUUACGACUUUUUGGACAAUUUUCCCGUUUAAAAUAUUAUCAAGUACUUCACAUUAUCUCCUCUAAUUUAAGUGACAAAGUCCAACGUGAUCUUUUCAAAUAUAUAUUUUUUUAUAACAGCUGAAAUUGAUGGUGCACCUAACUUUUUUUUUUUUUUUAAUGUAAGAUUUUAAAGCUCUCAUGUUGUGGUCUUUCCCCUAGCUCCCAUGGGAUAGUGGCACACCGAUCAGUACAAGGACCUAGGACCAAAGCAUCGCGUGAUUGACCCUUAUCGGUGGUCAUGAGCAGUGUGCCAUCAUAUUUUGCUAAUAUGGGGCUCACUUGACGAUAUAUUUCCCGAAAGUAGUUAAAAGUGGCGGCAUCAAUAGGUUAUACUAUUAAUCAUAAUUUAAAAAACUAACUAAGUUACUUGGUUGUGCCUGCUAGAUAAAAUUUAGAAUUUGAUUGUGUUGACACCUAAAUUUUGGUGAUCCAUUUAGUCAUUUAUUACAUAAAAAAUUAGGGGUUAAUUUUAUCCCUGAAAAAAAAAUAUUAAUUGCAUAGCUACAUUUAGUUUGCAUUUUAUUUACUGGACCGGUGGCGGAUGGGUCGAAUUGGUGUUUUUGAAUUUUAAAUUAAUAGGCCGGGCUAGGCCCAUGAAAGGAUAAAAUUAACCCAAGCCCGUCGUUAUCUUUAAUUGAUUAUUUUGCGAAAAAAUUAAGAUUUGAUGCGAUAUUGUGGUUUUUGAAAAUUAAAAAAAAUCAUAUUGUAAUCUUAUUUUUUAUCAAUAGAUGAUGAAAUCGGGGGAAGAAUAUUUUUGAGAUAAGGAUUUUCGUGAUCAAGAGGUUAUAAGCAAUAUUCAGGAGAUGAAAAUAUUUAAAAAAAGAUCCUGUUUUGCAUCGCCUAUAAAAGGAUAAGUACGGAUCAAUCUAGGGGGUUCUCUGGCUAGGUUUUUUUUUUUUUUUUUUUUCUCUUCGUCGAAGUAAAAUGGAGACUUUCUUCCUCGUCCAUCUUCAGCAAAGAGAGAGAGAGAUUUUUUUCUUUUUUCCUGACAACUGCAGGGAGAAGGAAAAGUAGAGUGACGUGAGAGAGAACUAGUGAAAAAGAGAAAAAGCAGCGUAAAGGCAAAAAAAGAAAAAGGUAGGGGUGAUUUGACCCUCACUGUUCAUUGUCUUCCUUGCUGCGUUCAUGUUGCUGCUCCAUCCUCGACGAACCGAAGCCCUGACGCUCCACCCUUCACGAGCAGGCCCGAGCCGUGCCACAGCCAAGCCGUCUUCCCCGCGCCGACGUAGCCGCCGAUCUCCAUCCGCGAGCCCCGACGACCGCACCCCUCGUUGACGCCCGCCACCUCGCCGCGCCUCCUUCGCGAACAACUUGCUCGCUGCCAUCACCGCCCGUCGCUCCACCCGAGGCGAGGCAACAACCAAGUCCCUCUCUUUGCAACGCCGGUAGUCCGCGACCCACCUCGACCGCACCCUCCGGCCCGCCAAAGCUCUGCCACGGCUGGACCCGAACCAGAUUUGCCCAAGCCUGCCGUGCCCAUACCGCCGAGCACCGACGCCGAUCCACCCAACGCCGGCCGUGCCCGUCCGGACCCGAGCUUCCCUAGCUCCGCUCCGGUGUUUUUGCCGCCGCCGGUUCACCUUGGCCGGAGCCUCCUUUGCCGAGCCGAUUCGCCGGUUCCCCCCUUGGAGAUCCACGAGCGGUGCCUGGAAAAGAAGAAAAAAAAACAUAAAAAACAAAAGCAAAAAGGAAAAGAAAACCUGAUUAGGUAGUUUUUCUUUUUCAUUUAUUUUACUUUAUUUUGUUUAUAUUCUUUAGUUUAGUUAUUUAAUUGGAUCCCAAUGUUUACUUUAUGAAUCUUGUAGGCAUUAUCCACAAGAGUUAUCCCUAAACUUAUUGUAAUUAUUAAUUUGACCCGUAAGAUGUCGGAUUAUUUUUUUAAUUACAUUAAUUUUUGGGAUUUGUUGAUAGUUUUUAAGUACUGAAUCAAUAUAAUUAUUAAUUUGAUCCGUAAGAAUUCGGAUCAGAUUUUUAGUUAUUUUGAACUCUUUGUUGUGAUAAUUAGGGUUAGGAUAAUCGUUAAUUUGACCUGUGAGACAACAGGUUAUUUUUUCGAUUAUUUUGAUCAUUUAUUUGAUUGAAUAUCUUGAUUGUUUAGAUUUAAUGUUUAGUUGAAAAGCCACUAAAAAAAUCUAAAAAAUAUUUGAAUUAGGAUUCAGUUUGUUUUGGAAUAUUUCUUGUUAUCUUGCAUAUCUUGAAUAGGGAUUUUAUUCCGAAUUUAGGAAAAUAUAACAAAAAACAAAAACACAAAAAAAAAUCAUCAUGCAUAUAUCAUGUUAAACUAAGGCAUUCUUUGCAUGUCAUUGCAUAUUAGAUAAAUUACAUGUUAGAUUAAGAUAAUAUCUUAGUUUAAAUUAGGAUUUAAUGUGACUUGAUCCUUAGUUUAAAUUAGAUAGAAUUUUAAUCUAGUUAGAUCAUUUUUGCAUAGAAAUAUCAAAUGCACAUUAUUUAGUUUUUAUUAGGUACAUUUAAUUAGAACUUCAUCGUCAUUAGACUAAGUCAUUUAAUAAAUGUCGCAUGACAUAUAACUCGCGUACUAAAUUGUAUGCUGCAUGUCAUCUUAGUUUAAAUAAUUUUGUAUGUCAUUGCAUCGCAUUGCAUGUCAUUAGAAUUAUGUCAUUUAGAUUGCCUUUAAUUAUUGCAUUUCUUCAUGUCAUACAGUUUAGGUCAUGCUGCCAUGUCAUAUUAGAUUAUUAGCAUGCAUCGUAUGAUUUUCAUUAAAUAAAGUGAAAACAAAAAAUUGAAAUUGCGUGUUAAUUAGAAAUCAUAUUUAGGGCUGUUGAUGUGAGUUCUGACUUAACAAUGCAGAUGCUUUCGUUGCUUCUAGGUAUGUUUUGCAAUAUUUAAUUGCUUUCUUGAGUGUUAAAUGGGUGGUAUACGCACACGUAUGAUCACCUCACAUGUUAGGAAGUUAAAUUAAAAUCAAUUCAAUUGCCAAACAUUUUUUUUAAAAUGAAAUAAAAAUGUACCAAAAGGGCACUAGGAUAGUCUGGUGUAACCAAGUCCCCGAACUCAUGAAUUUCUAGUUCGUAGGAGUAAAGUAAAUCUCCCAUUACUUUACUUGGGUUUCUAAUCGACCCACCAAAAUAAAUUAGUGGCGACUCCCGAUUGAAAAUCAUUUGCAUGUUAAGAAUUCAAACCUAAGUCGCGAAUUGGUAUGGGCUUGGGAGAGCCCGAGCUAAGCUUAAAGACUUAGUAAUCCAUUAACCUAGUUUUAGGUGGUGAACCCGCGAAAAUCAGGUUGCGACAGAUUGCAUUUUCAUUAGAAGUUUUCAAAGUUUCGAGUGCAUUUAUCUCUAUUCUAUAUAGAAGCAUUUCUUGUAUGAACAUAAAAAUCAUGAACGAUAAACUUGUAUAUAGAAAUGUGUAUAUAUAGUUAUAUGUCAUGUGUUUAAAAGAUAUAUAGUCCAAUUUACUUAGUCGAUUCUCCUAGACUUUUUUUAGUAUUUUAUCAAGUAGUUAGAUUUGCAUGUGCAAUAUAUCUAAAUUUAUGUUUAGUUAACAUUUAUUCCAUAAAUUUUCAACGAUUAAGUUUAUAUGUAUCAUAUAAGUACGUAAUAACUUAAUUUAUUAACUAUCACAAAACUAUUUUUUAAAUGUUCAAAAACUAUAUAAUAGCUAAAAUAGUAGAGGAAUACGUAGUAGGAGAGCACAUGAGUUGUUGUAUAUUAUAUUAUGCUUUUUCUUUUCUUUUCUUUUUUUCAUGCCACACGUCUUCUCAAAGCAGCGUCUCCACUCUCCAGGCAAGUGUAUAGAGAUGAGUGCAGCAAAGUGGAGACGGCGGGAGGACGGUUGAGUCGGGCUUAGUACGGCCCAGAUCAUUUCGUGCCAGCUCCUUUUGUAUUUUUUUGUUAAUUUUUUGGGGCCUAGUUGAAAUUUUCUUUCAAUCGUUAAUCUUUGAAAAAAAUAAAAUAAUAAUUCUAAAGUGGAGACUCUCGUCGUCGAGGGAGAAGAGAAAGACUUCUUAUUCGGUCCAAAGAUGAAAGUGCUUAGGAGCUGAGAGGAAAAUGCUCUUGUAUUGUCUCGUCAGAUUCUAAUGUCCAUAGGAGAAAGGCUCUCCAAAAGCGACGUCGAUCCAACACUCGCAAUUUCUGCCAAAAGAUUCCCCACAAAUUGACAAUGCCAGUGAGCCCGAUCGUUCCAAAUUUAGGCCUUUUGUCGACGGCCCAAAAAGCCCCAAAUCCAAACUCCAAUCGGCGUUCGACCUUCAUGCCGAAGAUCCGAGCAGCCUUGUUUCAUGCCGAGGUCGCCAAAACUCGUAAUCCUCCAAUUCUGCUGCUUCCGGCUGACCCUUCGUCAUGAAUUGGUGUUUCGUCGAGAAGUAUGGCACUUUGGGAUUGGUUGUGCGAGCAUGAGAGAAGGAAGAUUUGGAGCGCUUGCAACUUCCUCUGAAGGUGGAGAAAGAAGACAAGCUUCGGACUCCAUUCACCGUGCUUUUGUCCCCCUAAAUCUAUUUUUCAAUCCUUGAGUUUUUGUUUUUUAUCGCUUGUAUUUAUUGUUAUUCUGCUUUGGUUUCUUAGACAUUCAUGCACUUAAGGAAUGGCCAUUUGGAGAGUGAGACACUUCGGAUUGUUACUUGUCCACAGUCGGUAGAUAAUCAAUUUUCGAGAUGAUAGAUAACGUGCACUUUCUUUCAUAGUUCAGUAGGACAAUAUUGUUUCCUCCAAUUCUUGAUUUCUUAAUAGCCUUCGAUCAGCUUAGUUAUUUUCUUUAAUCAUCUCUUCUCUUACUUUGUAAUGGAUGGUAAUUAAGAGACGUUGUUAUGGGAUGCAGAGUAUGGGACGACUACAGGAGUAUCGGUGCUUGAUAGGGCAACGACAGCUUUGGCUCUUGCGUCUAGAGAUUCCAAAACCCGAAGAUUUCGACACGCCGGGACAUAUUUUCCCAUUGGAGUAUAGGGAGGGUGGUGUCCUGGAAUGAGCUGCGCAUACGGAGGCUUUUGUCGACCUUGCUGUGUUAGCUUGAUUGGAACCUGUGGCAGUUCUUUGCGAGGCAGUGGGUGAUGGUGGCCCUGUGGCAAGAUUACCUAAGCUUCGUGAGUUUGCACAGCAGGAGAACUUGAAAAAUUGCAUCUAUUGCUGAUCUAAUAAGGUUAGUAUUCUCUGACCGUCUGAAUGAACUUGUGAAUCCUCUCUUCCGAGCGAAAUAUGACACUGUUCACCAGAAUACUCCUUCGAUCAUUCUCGAAGUUCUAGCCAUUGGUUGGGCGUCAAAUUUGGAGGACAGGUCCCUCUGACCUUCCUCUUGAUACCCACCGAAGGAAUUCCAGUGGGUCGACCUACAACUCGAGAUCUCACCUUCUUUAGGUGUGCUCGCGAGUUCAGGCCUGUGUUCUGGUGUUUCGGUUGCUGAGGGAGUUCCUGUGGUUGUAUUAAGCUCAAAUUUGGAGGGUGAGGUCGUCUUGCAUCCCUUUCCAUCCCCACCGAACCGUUUUGCAGCAGGUGGCCUACAAGUCCGGAUCUAGCCAUUUCAGCCUCUUGGGUUCUGCUACUGCGCGACUUCAGGAGUUUGCGGUGUUUAAAUUUUUCUUGCUGGGCCAAUCGUUCUCGCCCGCUCCCGGUCUUCUCACCAUCGCCGGCGGCUUUCCGAGACCGACGUCGCCCGAGCCUCGAGAGAUUGACUCCUCCCCUCACGUUCGCAACCGAAACCGCCCACGCCGCUCCACAAUCUGAGCCUCAAAGACGAUGAGGAGGGAGAGACAGAGGACCAGCGUCGGGGUGGGAAGCAACGAGCGGCGAGGCCCCGGAGCUCCGUUCGUCUACCGCCGGGAGGGAGCUGUUCUUCGGGGAUCUUGGGCGCCAUUGUUUGCUCUUCAAACCCUCUAAGUGCUGCUUGGUACGUGCUCUCCUGUGGGUUUAAUUUGGUUGCGAUGGGUUAGGGUUUUUUUGGUUCGCGGUUCUGUUGUUUCGAGUCUGCUGAAUUGAUGGAGUCCGGACCCUUCUGGGCCCAUUUUGAUGAUGAGGGGCCGAGUAAUUGAAGCCCUUCCCCUCCUGUUCAUCCUGUUCAUGGGCAACCCUCAUUGACUGCUCCUUCUUUGAGCAAACAUGGGCCAAAUCCUUCGUCCCCAUCUGCUGCGAUUGAGAACAAUGACUCGCGACCUCCUCUUGCUCCUAUUAAGGCGCGUGGAAAGAGUAGAGGUAGAUUGACAUCCAAGCGCCCUCAACACUGGGGUGAAUCGGAAAACCUGGUAACUCGGUCUUGGGCUACUGUUGCUAGUGGAGUGCAUAAAGGAUAUGAUCUUGAACAUACUCCUUCGACCUUUGUGAACAAUAAACCAGUUAUACAGAUGACAGAAUCUGAUCUUGAAGCUGCUGAUCCCAAGCUCUUUGAGUGUCUUGUGGGGUAUUUCAUUGGAAAGCGAUUGCCAUUUAAAGUUAUUGAAGAGGCUCUUAAAAAAGCCUGGGGUCCGAAUUUGCUUGAAGUCAUGCCUAAUGGGCAGGGACUGUUUGUUUUGCGCAUACCAGAUAGGGAGUUCCGAAGGAAAAUCCUUGAAGGAGGCCAUAUAACAGUUGCAAGGAUUCCUCUGGUUCUGCAGCAAUGGAGACCAAGUUUGGAACUCAGUAAAAACAUCCAUCGUUCAGUUCCGGUUUGGGUGAGACUUCGAAACUUACCUUUUUCAUUUUGGUCAGCUCAAUCCAUUGGAAAGGUGGCUAGUGCAGUGGGUAAACCACUCUAUGUGGAUCGGCGGACAGAGCAGAUGACAAUGCUAACGUUCGCCAGGGUUUGUGUUGAAAUAACAGCCCAGCAACCAACUCGUGAAUCUAUUGAGGUGCUCUUUGAUGGUAAAUCAGUGGAAGUGGAAGUUGAGUAUGAAUGGAAACCGCUUGCUUGCCCUGUAUGCGGUAUCUUUGGUCACAACUAUAAAACAGCUGCUCCUACAAACUCUGCUGUUCCUUCUGCAGAAGUUAAUCAGGUCUUCAAUGCUAGUGUUGGAAUCCAUCCUGCUCAAGACAAGUCUGUGCACCCUAAUUCCCCUACUUGUCCAGAUGGUCCUGCUCUCUCUCAAAAUUGUCAAAAACAGGCUAUGGUGGACUUACAACUUCCACUUACUACCCUAGGCAUGGACAUGAUCGAUCCUGAGAUUGAUUCUCAGCUGCAACUGGAGGCAACCGCACUUGUUCCUCCUAAGCCUUUGAAGAUCUCUACUUCUAAGGUUUCUACAUCUAAGGAUGGUGGUGAAUUGUUGGCUAUGUCCUCAGCUCCUGCUGCCGAUCCAGAAUGGAAGCAGGUGAAGGGGAAAGGUAGGAAAAAGAAAAAGCAUGCUGAGAAAGAAGCUCCCUCCUCUUCACUUCAGGGUGGAAGCUUGGAUGAAAUAUGCAACUCUAGUACUCAAAUGGAAGUAAAUGAUGAAGAUGUUUUGUCUGUGGGUUCCCCUUCGCCAAAAGGCCCGGCUCCCGGAUGGUGUUAGAAGUAUGCAAGAACAACUCCUCUUGCUUCUUCCUGAUCCACCACCCUCGGUGGCUUCAAAAGCGCCUACCACAGGCCGCAGGCUAGAGAGUAAUCUACCCUCUAUCCUUUUUNNNNNNNNNNNNNNNNNNNNNNNNNNNNNNNNNNNNNNNNNNNNNNNNNNNNNNNNNNNNNNNNNNNNNNNNNNNNNNNNNNNNNNNNNNNNNNNNNNNNNNNNNNNNNNNNNNNNNNNNNNNNNNNNNNNNNNNNNNNNNNNNNNNNNNNNNNNNNNNNNNNNNNNNNNNUUGGGUUGCAAACUAUGAGUAUUUUUCUCGUGGUAGAAUCUGAGUUGGUUGGAACUCGGAUCUUGUUUCUUUUGUGCCCAUCUCUAUCAAUGACCAGGCUGUGCAUGGUAGUCUGAAGCAUAAUAUGUCUGGUGUGAGCUGCUGCAUCUCUGCUAUUUAUGGAGAACAUACUUUUUUGCGUCGUAGACCUUUGUGGGAGGACCUCCUCCACUUUAAUGACUUGAUGCAGGAUUCGGCUUGGCUUGUUGCUGGUGAUUUCAACGCCAUUAAAGACCCAUCCGAUUGAGUUGGAGGUUCCAACGACUGGAUCCCUUAUUUUGAUGAGUUUGCCUAAUGCUUAACACAAACAGAACUGAUGGAUCUCAAAUAUGUUGGCCUCCAUUAUACUUGGUCUACCUCGGCAGGAGACACCAGGAAGAUGAGGAAGAUCAAUCGUGUUUUGGUUAACAACAAAUGGAACCUUCAUUUCUCAUUCUCUGAGGCUUCGUUUUUGAACCCUAGCAUCUCGGACCAUACUCCUAUGAUCGUCAGAGUUCUUCAGCCGGUCCAGAGGAGGAAGCCGUUUAAGUAUUUUGAAUUUUGGGCUGACCACCCGGACUUUAACUCAACUGUUCGCCAGGCUUGGGACUCCUCCAUCAUAGGCGUUCUAAUGUACAUUCUUGUUUCCAAGCUGAAAAUUGUGAAAACUCAACUUAAGUUACUUAACCAAGACGCCUUCUCGGAUAUCUCUGUGAGGGCGGCCGAAGCAAGAGAGGCCCUUCGAAGCACUCAGGUUAGCCUUCAAUCGAACCCUUACAACCUUUCUCUUGCUGAGUUGGAAAAAUCUCAGCGUCGUGUUUUUAUUGAUCUGAGGAAUCAAGAAGAAUCCUUCUUCAGACAAAAGUCGAGAGUGAGAUGGCUAAAAGAAGGUUACAUGAAUACUAAGUUUUUCCACCAUUCGGUGAAGAGGAGGCAGCUUACUAAUAGGAUCCUUUCCGUUAAGGAUCAAUCGGGGGCUAUUAUCACAGAUCCUGUUCUUGUGCCGCAAGUUUUUGUCCGUUUUUUCUCGAAUCUGCUCUCUCAUCAUGAGGCUUUGUCUAAACCUUCGCUUCAGGAGUUGAAAACGUUUGUUCGUCACCCACUUUCUGAUGCUCAGGUGCGGUCCUUGUGUGAACCUGUUUCUCCCUCUGAGAUUAAGAAUACUCUAUUCUCCCUUGCCAAAGGCAAGGCCCCGGGUCCUAAUGGAUUCUCGGUAGAGCUCUACAAGACUAAUUGGGACUUAGUGGGGCCAUUGGUGGUGGAAGCAAUCCAGGAUUUCUUCUCUUCAGGACUGCUCCUAAAGGAGGUAAAUACCACUAUCCUCGCCCUAGUUCCUAAAGUCACUAACGCAAGUGCAGUCACUGAUUUUAGGCCUAUCGCAUGUUGCAAUACCAUUUAUAAAGUCAUUACAAAAAUCCUUGCUAAUCGCAUUGCUGCUGUCUUAAAUGAUUUGAUAAGCCAUUCACAAAAUGCUUUUGUAAAGGGUAGGAGGAUUAGAAAUAAUAUCCUCAUCGCUCAAGAGUUGUUUGCUGGAUUUCACUUAGAGCCUUAUCUGCCCAAAUGUGCUGUUAAAGUUGAUUUCCAUAAGGCCUAUGACACGAUUGAUUGGGAUUUCUUGGAGCUUGCUCUCCGUGCCUUCGGUUUUCCUGAGUGGAUUAUUUCGUUAAUUAUGGUAUGCGUACGUACGCCAAAAUAUUCCAUCUCUAUCAAUGGUGAUUUGCAUGGUUUUUUCCCUACUGGAAGAGGACUUAGGCAAGGUGAUCCUAUGUCACCUUACCUAUUUACCUUAGUCAUGGAAAUUUUCUCUGGAAUCUUGCUCUCAUGUAUUGCUAGCAAUGACUUCAAAUAUUUCUGGAGAUGCAAAUCUGUGCAGCUGACUCACCUCUUUUUCGCCGAUGACGUAUUCCUUUUUUGUCAAGCUGAUUCGGCGUCGGUGACGUUGUUAAAAAAGAGUUUGGACAUUUUCUCCUCUUGGAGCGACCUCUACCCAAAUAAAAACAAAAGUGAGAUCUUCAUCUCAGGAGGGGAUUCAUCUCUUCGUAAUAUGAUGUUACGGGCCUUCGGUUUUCAAGAAGGGAAACUGCCGGUUCGCUAUUUGGGUAUUCCGAUUAUUACUACUAGAUUGGGCAAAGCAGACUGUGUUGCAUUGACUGAUCGUAUUACUGCCAGGGUUCAAUCUUGGGCGCAACGCUUUCUGUCCUUUGCUGGGAGGCUGCAACUUAUAAGGUCAGUACUCCUUUCAAUUCAAACAUAUUGGACUAGUGUCUUCAACCUUCCGUCCUUGGUUAUAGAUAAUAUUGAGCGCAUUUUGAGACAAUUUUUAUGGAAGGGCACGACCCUUGGCCAGGGUGGGGCAAAAGUUUCCUGGGACGAUGUCUGUCUUCCAAAAGUUGAGGGCGGUCUAGGCAUUCGGAAACUUAAAGAUUAUAACAAAGCCUCUAUGCUUAAAUUUAUUUGGAUUCUUUUCACUGAUAAAGAAUCGUUGUGGUGUCGGUGGGUACACUCUAACUUCUUAAAAAGAAGAAACUUUUGGAUUUCUUCCCAACCUCGUUGCUGUUCUUGGGCAUGGAAAAAAAUCCUUCAACUGAGGAAUUACUUUCGCUUAUCCUUUGUGUGGAAGAUUGGAAAUGGCCUAUCAGUGUCUCUUUGGCAUGAUCACUGGCUUUCUUGUGGCCCGCUUGAUGCCUUCAUCCCUUGCUCAUUCCGUGAAGGCUUGUGUUCUGACAAUAAUGUUGUUGCAGAUCUGUUUACCUCUAUGGGUUGUCUAUUUAAAUCCUUUUUGGAAAGAUGGGGGAUCUCUCUCCCGGUCCUCUCUUCGGCUCGUGACAGGUUUACCUGGUUCUAUGACUCUUCUGGAUCAUUCUCUGUAACUUCAGCAUGGAAUUCCAUUAGAGUCAAGAAGGAUCGUGUUGAUUGGGCAUCUUUUGUUUGGGAAAAUGCUGUAGCCCCGCGAUUCCAGUUUAAUUUAUGGCUUAUAACCAAGAAUCGUCUGCCGACCCAGAUGCUGAUUCUUUCUCAUGGUAGGAUCGACUAUAAUGUUUGUGCCUUCUGCAAUGAUGUUCCAGAUUCUGUCGAACAUUUAUUCUUCGGGUGUCGCACCUCGGCUUCUCUGGCCUACUUUUGGGCCGCCAGGUGUAACCUCCCGUGGCAGAAUAGAUGUUGGAAAGAUAUCCUCAGUUGGGCCUUAAAGUUCUUAUCUGGUAAGGACUUCUUCCAUUGCAUUGCGCGGUUCUCGUUUGGAGCUAUGUGUCACCUUAUUUGGAAAAAGAUGAAUGCGAUUAUAUUUCGGGGUGAAUCCUUAGUGGUCUCGGCUCUAAAAAAUCACCUUAUUAAAGUUGUGAGGGAUAAAGCUAUAACACUCAAAGAUGUUCCUCCUACCCCGAGGAAUAAGAGGCUUCAACGUGGUUGGGGGUUCGACCCUGCGGUGUUCUCUCGUCUAACUAGCGCUCCUUAGUUGCUGCUUUGCGCGAGUUGCUCCUAUCUUUCUUGGCUCUCCGUUCUUAGCCGCUUCCUUGGGGGGCUGAGGGUUGGUCAGCCUUGUUGUUCUCUCUUUCCCGCUUGUUUGUUUUGUUGCUGUGCCCUUGUGGCUUUCUUGUUUGCCUAUGUGGCCUCUUACAUUGGCUCCCCUACACUUUGUCUCCUUUUGAGGAAUGAGUGUAGGUUUUUGGUGCCGAUCUUUUGUAUAUUGCCUUAGCUUUAUUUAUAUAUUUAUUACCUUUACCCAAAAAAAAAAAAAGGUUAGUAUUCUCUUCCCAUCAGUCCAAGUGCAAGUACUUUUUAAGGACACGUAGUCUGCAAUUGAAUCAAGUUUGAGAUGCAACUUUCACUUCUUAAGCAUUGGCUUUUCUGGCCAAGAUGUUGUCUCAGUGGCAUCUCGCCUUUCUGGAGUGGAUAAACUAGGAGCUAAAACUUUGGAUUCCUGGGUGGGGUGGGAAAAAGAGUCUCUCAUGGGGGCCUGAUGGGCUGUUGUUUUACAUAGCAAAGAACGAGAGAAGCAUAAGCUGUUUUGGUCUAUUCAUGUCCUAAGUUUACUUUAUGCUUUAAGCUUGUGCUUGUUAUUCUGCUCGUCAGCACCAUGCAGAUCAACACUUUUAGGGUCUGAAGAGUUGUUUCUCACAAUUUUUUAUGUGCAUGUUGCUGUUAGAUUAGUGUUUACAGUUUAUCUAUCACCCGAUGUUUAACUUUAGAAAUUGGUUAUGACUGGCCAGGAUUCUUGUUGAGUCAUGUCCAUGAGCUCAUGACUGUCGUUAUCUCUGCGUACAUUUUCUUGUAUUUACCUUGUUUCAAAACCUAUGUCCGAAUGUUAGUUGACCAUUAACUAGGGCGGAGUUUGAGGUGACUCUCAGCAUUAUCACCGGGAAAUGAGGAUAGAACAUCUUGAUUCACAAAAGAGUGCUUAAAGUUGUCUGAUGUAUCCUGACUUAUAUGUUGAGAAGCUUCCUAUACUGUGUGAUCCAGAAAUGAUUUUACACUCAUUAAAUGCAUAAAUUUACAGGUACUGCAGGAAAAGAGAUUAAUUAAUUGAAUUUGCUGCUGCUGUAAGAUUACCAACAAUGUGGAUGACAGCUAGCUUUAGGAAGCUGUUCAUCUUCUCUAUAGAUGUUGAUGGGUGACAACUGCUAGCUUAGUUUAGACUACGAUGAAGGAUGAUGAACACGUGAAUACUUUAGGAAGCUCUUUAAAAGAACACCUUGGGAAUCGUACGCAUUAAAAGUGGGACAAUGUGGUGGUAGAUGGAAAUUAUUUCAAGAAUAAUGUCAUAGAUGCUAAGACUUGUAUGAUGCUUGGAGAUACAAAUUACAAAGACCGAUAUCAAUAGAAUUAAUUGACGUGUAAGAUUUUAUUGAAUGUUUGAGUAUCGCUUAUUUAUGUAUCAAGUGCUUGUGGUAUCCCUGACAUGUUACAUUUGCAUUAAUAAGUAAUCAGUAUGACCAUUGCCCCCUUGAUAUUCAGAUCAAGACUUAAACAAGUGGGUAGAUUUAGGUAUUAGGUGUAAAAACAUUUUCGAAGACCCCCCAAUGAUCAAAUAAUUAAUUAACUUUGGUGGGAUCUAAGUGGGUUUAGCUUUUCAUGCCGAGCUAAAGAAGGGAAUUGCUUGUCUUGGCCUGCUUAGUUGCAACUGCAGCUCGGCAGAGUGCCAAGCUGCAGACCUCGGCACUCUGCCGUGAGGCCAAACGCCACCUCUAGGUGUUAGAGAUGAUUAGAGUAAAAGCAAAGAUAAUUCACUGAAAGUCCGACGGGUAUCCAUCACGUUUAAGGUAGUCAACCUAUUAUUUCCCGUGUUAAGUCCACAUUAAUCUAGGCAUUUAAUAUUAUUAUUGCUGGGAAUGUCUUGUUAGUAAUUCCUAUAACUAAGAAACGGGAAUUACAUAUUGCGUGUCUGCUACAAAUUGAGGAACUUUAGCUUUUGGAAAUUCCUUGGCCGUGAGUCCGCAUCUUUAUGGCGCUUAUAUUUAAUUUUCUUCAGUUAAUAUAUAGGCAACAUUCAUGAAUCUUUUGUUCAACUGCAUUCAUUGAACACGCAAAUGAGAACACAAGUUCACAGGUGAGAAAAGAACCCCCACACGUCCACAGCCGCGACUUGAAUCAUGGAAAAAUGAAAGCGAGCUGAAUGAACCAAAGGCGAAUGUUACGAUCUUUUUUUAAUGAAACGACUAUCUCAGUGUUUUGAUUCAAAACGUUUCCCUCAAACGAGAACACAAGUUAUAUUUAGACAUUAUCACAAACACAUGGCAGUCAUUUCGGAUACACAGCCUAAAGACAAGUUCAAGCGAGCUUGAUCGAAGCAUUUCGUCGAGCAUGUAGUGAGCGUCAAAUGAGGAGAAUGUAGGCAUACCCGUGACUCAAACUCAGACCGAAAUCCGCGUACAAUGAGCAAACGAAAUCAGUACCGAGCAUGAAAGCCAACAAGUCUCCAGCCAUAAACGAAGGACAUUAACGCCCAUCUAACUUGGGCAUUUCAUCGAACACUUGGCACAUGCUACUGAAAUGGAAGCAAUGCCGGGCUGAUUGAAGCUCGGCUACAUACCAACCAAAACAACACGGAUGGGCAGAUGGGCGUUAAGGCAACUGGAAAAGGCAGGGCAAACAAGUUACUAAAAGAAGCGUCGACCGCUGGUCCCUACCCGGCUGGAAGACGUCGACCAAAAGAAGAGCCCGAAACGAGUUGGGCCAUGGCCAGCCACCUUUGUGUCGUCGAGCUAGGGUCCUCGGGAAAGGCAGACUUCGACCAAGGCAAAGGUCGGAAACCCACCGGAGGCUUCGUGCCGGAGGAAACGGGAGCCGCGAGAUUGAGGGCACCGGCCGAGACUCGUCACUCUUAAACUCUCUCUCUCUCUCUCUCUCAGAUCUCGCUCUCUUGGAUCUCCUCCCCCGUUUCUCUUUGACCUGGCAGGUCGAGGAGACCGGUCGACGGAGAGCUUCGGCCGCCGGUCCAUGGCGCGCCGACCGCCGUCCCUCCCUCUUGGCAGAACCGGCGUCCCCUCCCGUCUUCUCCUUGCAGAACUCUCUACCUUGGCCAGGCCUACCGCGUCGAGCUCCUCAGCCCAUUGAAGUCGCGUCCCAUCCGUCCGGGUUUCUCGGCGGCCUCCGCGCUGCUCCUGUCCUUCGCGCGCGCGCGAGUUGCAGGGGAGGGAGGGAGGGAGGAAGGAAGGAGGAAGGAGGAGAAGAGAGCGGGCCGCGCCGCUGGGGCGGGGGGGGGGGGGCGGGCGUUCGAGCCCCAUUUGUCUGCCGUCGAAGGUUGGUGUCGUCUGGUUNNNNNNNNNNNNNNNNNNNNNNNNNNNNNNNNNNNNNNNNNNNNNNNNNNNNNNNNNNNNNNNNNNNNNNNNNNNNNNNNNNNNNNNNNNNNNNNNNNNNNNNNNNNNNNNNNNNNNNNNNNNNNNNNNNNNNNNNNNNNNNNNNNNNNNNNNNNNNNNNNNNNNNNNNNNNNNNNNNNNNNNNNNNNNNNNNNNNNNNNNNNNNNNNNNNNNNNNNNNNNNNNNNNNNNNNNNNNNNNNNNNNNNNNNNNNNNNNNNNNNNNNNNNNNNNNNNNNNNNNNNNNNNNNNNNNNNNNNNNNNNNNNNNNNNNNNNNNNNNNNNNNNNNNNNNNNNNNNNNNNNNNNNNNNNNNNNNNNNNNNNNNNNNNNNNNUAGCUCAGAAUUUAUUCCCACAUUCAGACAUGAUUUAUAAUUAAUCACUCCAAAUUUUUCGGAUUUUCUCCUUUUUUAAGUAAAUUAAGCUCUCUGUCAUACAAUGAACCAAAUGACCUAAAUGGGUCGGGUAUAGGUCGGGUAUGUGUCGGGUCGGGUAUGGGUUAUUACUCUCAUGUAUGAUAUUAAGGGGUCAUAGAGGGGGGGAGCGGGCUAGGGGCGAAAGCCCAGCCCUCGAGCACCCCUCUUCUCCUCCUCCUUCUUCUUCUUUUAAUUAUUUGUAUGUAUUUUUUAUUUAUCAGAAAUGCAGUAAAAUAAGGAAAAUUAAAAUUAAAAUGCAAACAAUAUUAUUACCCAUGUGAUGUGAGAAUGCCAAAUUACUCUAUAAUUUUUUAUGCAAUUUAUUCCUAAAUAUUUAGCUAAUAUUAAGGUGUCAAUAGGUCCUUCAUUGAUUUUGGAUAAAAAAUAAUUGACAAGAAAUUUAAAGAUACAAGACCAGAGGGAAUAAUUACUUUAGCCAUGUAAAUGUAAGGAACUAUAAAUUGCAGGAAAGUAAAGAUAAAAAUAAAAAUAAAAAACGUUGAGUUUUAUGAUUGAUUGAGGGGGAGUUUACAAUAAUUACAUUUAUGGUAUCUAUAACUAUCUACUGUCAUUUACAUACAAUGAUUAUUGAAUUUGAAUAAAAAAAUUUAUCUAUAGUUAAGGAAAUUAUACUGCAAUCUCCUAGAUUAAGGAACAAUUAUCUAUAAGUUAUAAAAUAACCACCGAGGGAUUAUGUUCUAGCAUCAAUUCAUCAUAUGCCUUUGAGUUCCAACACCUAGUAAAAUCUGCAAUAAGUGUUGAUGAUUUUGUCAACUAGUGAAAGUCUCAUAGACAAUUGAUGUUUGGUGGUGAUGAUUAUAUUAUAGAUUCAUCAAUUGUUUUGACCAAACUAUUUAUCGACUUAGUUUGUUAUUUGUCGAUAAUAAUCAAAACUUAGUCAUUUUCUAAUGUCAACAAAUGCCCAUUUUUUAAAAGAAUUGAAUGAUUAAUUGAUUAUUGAACUUGAGAUGUAUUGCCAUCAAAAAGGGAGGAAAAACAUAACGGACUGUGUGUAAAUGAUACAAUAGAUAGUUAUACAACACUCAAUAAGGAAUAUGUAAGCAUUCACUGGUUUUGCAAGUUUCUUUCGAUAGAAGUGACUUUGAUAUAUAUCUGAUGUCAAAUGUGCUUAUGAUCUUAGACUAGUCUAUCCAAAGCAACAAUUGCAAAACAUAGUCUUGGUUGCAUCGAUUAGACUUGAUGAUAAUGUAUUUUAAAGUGUAUGCUUGUGCAAACAUUAUCAUUAUCAAGAACUUCCAUUUUGGGCAAGAUGAAUUUACUAUCUUUGACUUUGAGAAUGAUUUUCCACCACUGGCAUUCGGCAACAGAUAUUCUAUCUCGGAUGCGCCUUCGUAAAGUAUGAGUACAUGAAAAACGACUUGCCUUCAUAUUUGAAGACUAAAAAGUGGCCAUCACAAAUGAAGUAGUGCUCCACAAAUUUGCUCCAACCCUUUGGUAACCAAACCAUGUCAUCCCAUACUUCCAAUCCCACACUGGCCAAAUCCCACCAUCUGGAAACCUGAGAAGCACCCUUUUUGCUAGAUUCUUCCCAUACUUCCUCAAGAACCUUUUUUGGCAUUCCCUAUAAAUAAUAAACGAAACAACAACACUUACGGAUCUGUUUCGCUGGGGCAACAACAACGUUCAAUGAAAUCCACAAUUGGUGCCAAAAACAAGAGUGCUUUGUGACUGUGUAGGAGGGUGUCACACAGGAUGAUCUUGUUGAAGCAGCUCCUGCAGAAAGGUACUCCUGUGACGUCGAUCUUCUUUCCAGCAAUGGCAAAUCAUCCUUGGACCAAUACUUGGAAGAAGAGAAGUUGGUGAAAGCAAUUAGAUAUAUGGAUGGACUCGAUCUUGGGUGGAGACCAAGCUGUCUUAAAGUGAAGCAUUUGCCUUUUGCUCUCUUUUCUUCAAUCUUGUGCGGUGAUUUGGUGGGAACAGUGCAAUUAAGAACAUGGUUUUGUGGUUAGCUGGGGGGAUAAAAAAAUUAUUGUCAGCCUUUUAGAUUCUGAGAUGGAUCUAAUUACGGUUCUCUAGGCUGAGUAGAUGGUGAUAUUAACCAGCGAGACAACGAACAAUGCCCCAAAACAGGGAUGACUCUUGUGCUUGGUAUGCUAAACAAAAGCUUCUCAGUGUUACGCAACUAGGUUGCACUUUGCGCUGUAGCAGAAAGAAACGGCUGGUAGGGGCAUGCUGGUGUAUCUCUGAGAGCACGAAGGAAGAGGCAUAGGUUUGGGGCACAAGCUACAUGCCUAUGACCUGCAGGACGAUGGAUGUGACACUGUGGAAUCAAAUGUGGAGCCCGUUGACCAUAGAGAGUACAGAAUUGGUGUGCCGGUAUUUCUUUGUUUAGUCAAACUAUACUGAUGUAGAAGAUCCUGCAUAAUUUAGAUUCUGACCAUAGAGAGUACAGAAUUGGUGUGCCAGUAUUUCUUCCUUAAGUCAAACUAUAUUGAUGUAGAAGAUCUUGCAUAAUUUAGAUUCUGAAUGAGUUCGAUUCAUGGUCAUUGUCAAGGAUUAAGGAACUACUAUGUUAAUAUGAAAUUAAAGGUAGUUGAAUUUCAGUGACUAGUUCAGAGAAUGUACUCAUUCGUAGGACUAGAGGAAACUGGUAACUCUAGCAGAGCCUCAAGUUCUCAUCUUUUGUGGAGGUCUAAUCAGCAUAAUGCAUCACUCCAUAAUCAAGUUUUUUGUAGUAUUUGAAGCAUUCACAUUAGUGCUUAACAUAUUGACUUACAGUGCAGAUGCUGCGUGGCCUAGGAGUCAGAACGACGAAGCUAAUGAUGAACAACCCAUUGAAGUAUGUGGGGCUUAAAGGUUGUGGCUUGGCUAUUGCUAGGAGAGUCCCUCUAGUAAUUCCCACAACAAAGGAGAACAAGAGGUACUGGGAGACAAAUGCUACAAGAUGGGGCACAUCUAUGGAGCAGAAGUCAAUGGCCGCUUCAACAAUCUCAUCAGAAAAAAAAACAGCAAACCGAGCAGUGCCAUUUCUUCUGAUCUAGCCAUGUCUGACUCAUAAAAGCCGCUGGAUAGUUCGACUGCUAAUGGUUUAUUUUGGGGGAUACAGACAAGUUCACUGACAGAUGGUGUUAUUACUUUAUCUUCAAAGCCCCAAGGUCAAGAACAUUCGGAUACCUGCUGAUCAUGAGUUCUGGAAAUUUAUGGCCAUGCAAUUCUAUAAUUAUUUUAAUUUUCAUUAUAAAUCUUCUGAGGUCAUUGAUCCAUUUUGUGCAGCGAAAAGGUGAAAGACUAGCCCUCUUAUUGAAACUUCCUUUUGUGCUAUUGAUGGUUUGCAAGAUUUAUCCUCAAUACAACCUUCCUUAGAAUUUGGAGACCACUGCAGAUUUCGUGAAAACAGAGUUGGUGCAGGACAUUUUCCCUUUCUGUGACCACCUCAAUGGCGUCAUAGAUCAACUCUCCACAUGGGCAAUGGAUAAGGAUUGCCCUUGACCUUUUAUUUUAUCAAGCCCAUGCUCCGCAUGAGUUCGAUUUUAUCAAGCCCAUGCUCUGCAUGAGUUUGAUUUAUACUUUGUCGAACAAAGGAUGCAACAUACAGGUGCAAUGUCCACUACUCUCCAAAAAAAAAAAAAAACAGGAAAUAUAUCACCAUUCAAUUACUUGCUGCAGAAAGUUUUGCUUUCUUUGAUCUGAUUUACUAAACAAAACAUAGUGAUGCAGUAAUUUUUCUGUGGGCAUGCUAAAGUCUACACCUUAGUCUUGAAAUUCCUCCUGAAAAUGGAGACUUCGAGUUCCGUAUUAUCAAUCCUAACAGGCUCAAACACACAGACGUCUCCUUCCUUUAGAGAGAGUAUGAUCUUAAAAAAAUGAGUUGUCUCCAGGUGCAGAUUGCCAGCCACCGUUCAUCUUCUCUCCGACAACAAGUCUUCCCCUGAGCACAAUUUGUGCAGUAAGCUGUAACGUCUGAAACAAAACAAUUUUUGUGAAUGAAGCAUUUAAAUAGAGAAGCUAAUCAUUUCUGGGACAAAAAUUUGAAAAAUGAAUGCUGGAGGAAGCUCAAUAUGAAGAACAUAUAGGGAAUCAAAUGGAUGAAAAGAUCGGCAACCUAUUAUUUGAUCAAAAUUGUAUCAAGAAUAACGCCAGAGGUACUGAGGCUAAAAUCUAUAGAAUUGAUCUACAAAGUGAUGUGUAAUAAGCAUGACCAUAGCCAUUAGAUAUUCAGCCCACUAGUUAGAAGGCUUGACCAAUGAGCCGGUCUGAG